GGAAUGGUGAUUGUUAUGGGUGGUUGGAAGAGAUUGAAAUGCCUGAGAACUCAGAAAUGGAUAAAAUUCCGUACUUAGGACCACAAGUUACUGAGACGAGUUGCUAGGAUUGGAUGAAUGCCUUUCAGUAGUUAUUGUUCUCCACAUUCCUCUCUCUCUCUCUCCCUCUCCCUCUCUCUGCGCGCCUGGUACAGUGUUUGAUUUAAGAUAUGCUGGUUGUAGAGAGCUUCAUUUCAUUAUUUUGUUCUUUACUAUGUAACAUAGUUCUACACAGUUUGAUAAAGACGUUAGGUGGAAUGUUGCCUUUCAGCCCGUGGUUUAUGAAUUGUUAUUUUGCUAAAUAUAAUAGUCAAACCAAAAUCCAGGAAAGAAAAGGGUGGUUUUCAAUUUGUCUAAUCUAAGGGCAUGUAAACGUGCCCUAAAAGAAAACCCAUUUACUCUUUGAUAAGGGCUCCGGGCCAGGCUUAAGCUUCUUUGGUAACUUCCAAGACUAGAUAUUAAGGCAACUGCUUUGAGUUUUCUGUUCUUAUUAAACUUUAAACAGGACGCAUAUGCAUACGUCACCUUAACCCGAAAAUUUUCUUUGUAAACAAAAAAUAAAGGGUUCCAACUCAAAUCCAAAGGGUCCAGCAUUUACAUUCUACAUAGGUGAUGCGUUCAUUCCAUUACCCUAUAAUAAGUACCCCUACGUUUGGGCGACAAAACUUAAGGCCACAUUUGAUAUGCAGGACUAUAUUAGCCCUUUCACAAUAGGCUUUCUAAAUCACAUCUUUAGACAAAUUUUAAGGAGGAAUCUUAAAAAUGCAACUCCAACUAUGCUCUUUAUCCACCUCCUAAAAUAGGGAAUCUUCUAGGAGCUCCUAAAUCUGAAGAGAGAGAACAGCCUCCUAGUGACUCCGUAUAAUUUAAUACUGUUUUAUUUAAUGAGUAUUUCAAACCUUUAUUUAAUGCUAAUUAUUUUUUAUUUUAUUUUUUAAUAGAGAUGGACCAAUUAAAAAAGAGUUAUAGCAUUAUGACUCUCCAAAUUAGGGAGUAUGGUUGAAGUUGAAUUUUUUUAGAGAGCUCCUAAAAUAGUUUUCUUAUAUUUUUAGCUAAAUUUUAGCUAAGAAAUAGAGAACAUCAUUGUGAAUACUCUUAGACUAUAACCUAGACUAACUAAAUGACUAAAUUUUGCUAGUCUAGACUAGUUAAAUGACUUGAUUUUGCAUACUUGGAAUGAUUAAUGUGGACUAUAAGCUUGACGGUUGGUAGGAAUAAGUUUUGGACAUCAACCUCUUAAUUACAAAAUCAAUUUCAGGCUAGUUACAUUGGUGUGCCCGUUUUCUACACAAACUAAAGACAAUUUCUUUAAAUUGGUCUGCAAAAUUAUUUUUAAAAUAAAUUUCAAUAAUGUUAGUAUUCAAAAGCUAAUCAAGUACACCAUAUUUUUCUUAUUUUAUAACUGUUGAUUUAAAAAUAAAAAUAAAAAAUAAAAAAUAAAAAAUAAAAAAUAAAAAGCAGUCGCAUUUGGCCGGUUUGUAUCAUAUAGAUUUCAAACUAAUGCAUUGAAAUUGUGACCCUUUUAAUUCUGAUAUUAUUCCACUAAUUUUUUUUAAAGUAUUAACAAUUCCUUUGUAUAAAUUUAAUUACUUAUUUGAAUUUGUGGUUUACAGUUAUGUACGUUUUUCUUUACACACUUGUAAUUGAUAGUUUGCUUCGAUGAAAUUUCUUUUUUCUUUGUUGAAAUUAAUUUUUCAGAUUUUUUCUGAUGGUCACACUUGUUUUCAAUUCUUAUAUUUAUUUUAGCAAUAAAGUUGCCAAUAAUGUUAGGUGAUUAUUGCCCUUAACAUGGUUAUGAAACUUAAUUACAUUUUUUGUGUUAAUACCGCUAAGCUUGGCAAGAGCUUUAUUUUAGUCUUGCUGAAUAGUGCAAAUAAAAUACAAAACAAGAUUUUCAGGUUUAAAAUUAUAUAUAAUUUUAAAAGGAGAAAUUAUGACUUGUUGAAUGAUUGAGUGAAAAAUGAUAUAUAAUUUUGUUAAUUUUGAUAUACUGUUAUGUGCAAUUAUAUAUUGUUUAUACCGUAAAUAAACGGCCUAUGACCACCGAACACGUGGACAGGAUCGAUACUGAUCACAGAACCCCUUCGGCAUUCCCCCUACCGAAGCCAUCUAUCUUGGCCCUUUUGCCAUCAGACACGUGUCAUGCUCACAAUCCAUGUCCAGAGUCCCACAUCGGAAAUAUGAGUAUAUAGUGCACACCUCCCAAAGCCUAUAUAAGGAGACCCAUAUCCCCAAAAGGAGGGGAUCAGAACCAACGGUACGCUAUUGAUUGAUCUGUCAGUUAACUUUACUAAAUCCGUACUUACUUAAGCAUCGGAGAGCCUUCGGCCGGUACCACACCGGUACCCCAAGGAUUUACCGAACGUGCCCUUUUGUAGGUACCUUCCCUUCCGAAGACAAGCACUUACCGAAGACAGUCACCUACCGAAGGAAUAAUUUAACUAAGUUGACGAAAUACGUGUUGAACCACUUUUUCGCAUCAACAGUUUGGCGCUGUCUGUGGGAAGACGAAAAAAUUAUCAACCCACCAUCUCCAAAACACAUGGGGACCACAUCAGUACCCACGUACUUGUCGGAAGAAGGCAUACCGUUCGGAAGGCAGAGCGGAGCUAGCCCAGCGCUACCCCCAUGCACUCCCUUCGGGAAUGCCCCCGCAACCCAAACAACCGCCGAAGCCGAGCUGGCAGUCCAAAUCGCGUCCCUACGGAAGGACAUGGCGAGGCUUCAGGAGCACAACAACUUUCUUUCGUCCAAAGUGGACGAAACCCAGCAGCUGCUCCACCAGCAGCACACGCAGAACAUCCAGACAACUCACUCUUCCGAAAGCCUGCAGACCCCUCAUAAGAGGAGGAAAUGCGAUAAGGUAGCGACGGCAACGCCCGCACCUUCCAAACAAUUGGUGGUCCCGGCACCCAGGGAUCAGCCACAUAUCCCCAAGAAGGUCUACUCCGAUUGCCGACAUCGGAUUAACGACGGGGAACAUCGGACUAACGAUCGGGAGGAAGAGAGACAGAGGUCUCCGAUCAGGAUGAGCGCUCGACUAAGGGACUCACGGAUGAAGGUCCUGGGGGACAAGUCGCCCAUUUGGAAAGUUAGAGGGCUGGGCCCCGCAGAGGAGUCGGAAUCUGAGUACAUCCCGUCCGGGAUGCAAACUUCCACCUACCGUUCGGCCACACAUUCGCGGAACUCGGAGGUUAAUCCACUAGACCUACAAAGGCGAUCGGAAGACUACGGUUCCGAGGAAAUCCCUAGCCGAAACCCCGUUGUCCGACUCUUUUUUCAAAGAAUCCAGAAAAUGGAAAACGACAACGCCCGCUCCCAGGGACCGGAGUGGGGAAAGCUUCGACCGGGACCGUUUACUAGGCGUAUCCGAGAGUCUCGGCAGGAUCGGGAAGGGCAGCAACUUCGUAUACCGUUCUAUACGGGAACGGAAGACCCCUUAACACACCUCCACUCAUUUCAGUCCGCCAUUGGAUGCAAGGGCCUGAGCGGCAGUGCUUGCUAUUCCCGUCCUCCCUUACCGGGGCAGCCCUGAACUGGUUCUACCGGUUGGAGCCAGAAACAGUAGACUCCUUCGACGAACUGAAGCAGAUUUUCCUCAACCACUUCAUAAUCCAAACGGACCGUCUUUACUCUGCCGAUGAUCUGUACACGAUUCGGCAAAGAGAGGACGAACCGUUGAGAGAAUACGUGACGCGCUUCAGUCACGAGUACUCAAGGUGUCCGGAAACAGACGAUAGGGCAGCCUACGGCGCCUUUAAGAGUGGCCUUCGGUCCUCGCAUUUCUGAUACCUAGUACACAGCAGCAACUGGCGCACGUAUGACGAACUGAUGAAGCAAGUGGCAAUCCACGCCAAGGCCGAAUAUUUCAACUCGAAGCCCGCGGCUUCGGCACCGCGAGGAAACGCCGAACCAAGUGCUUAUCCGGCAAAGGCGACACCCUACGAGAGAACCGACACAUACUCGGCAGGUCAUAAGAGAAAAGACGACCGCGCCGAUCGAAGAGAACCCUCGAAGAAAGGGAAAGGGCGGUAUGGUCGCAACGACCACCGAGCGCCCCUGCCGAAUCAUGACCAAGUCAAUGAAGUCUUCACCCUGUUGAACACUACCUACGAGGCCGUCCUGAUGAACGAACAGGGAAUAAUACCAAAGUCGAAUGCCCGAAGACCCAAUCGACAAGACAACCGAGAUACCGGUAAAUUCUGCCGAUACCAUCAGCACAACAGCCAUAAUACAGAGGACUGUAUAAGCCUGAGAAAAAUUGUCGAGCGAUUGAUCAGAGAGGGGAAGCUAGAUCAGUACAUCGCCCGGCAGCAACGGUGCCAGUGCCGAAUCCGGUUCGGCAGAUAAACAUGAUAAGCACUAUUAGCGGUGGCCCCACCAUCGCAGGAAUGAGCAACCGGUCAAUGAAGCAAUAUGUGCGGGCCGCACAGUUUCCUCAGGUAUUCGGCAUAGAGGUGAAUCGGCACCAGGAAAUCCCGAAAGUUCAUUGGGAACCAAUCACAUUCUGCGAAGAGGAGGAAGAAGGCAUCCUCUAUCCCCAUGACGACCCAAUGAUCAUCCGAGCAGAAAUUGCCAACUACGACGUAGGGAGAGUGCUGAUCAAUACCGGGAGCUCGGUGAACGUGAUUUUUUCCGAAGCUUUCCGAGAGAUGGGAAUAAAGGACUGCCAGGUAAACCGGCAGUUGACACCUUUGUUAAGUUUCUCCGGAGACUUGGUCCAACCGAUCGGUAGUGUGAAACUACCCAUCACCUUCGGCACUGCGCCAAGGAAAACGACGGUAUACGAUCAAUUCCUCAUCGUUGAUUGCCCGACGGCGUACAACGUCAUAGUUGGACGUACGGCACUCACCAUGGUCAAGGCGCAUCUUUCCCCCCACAUGCUACUGAUGAAGUUCCCAACCCCCUACGGCACAGAGGCUGUCCGAGGAAAUCAGCUAAGCGCUCGGACUUGCUACGCCACGGCACUCAAGUCAACCACUGUCCAAGUCCCCGACGAGACAUGUCUGUGCAGGGGAUAUCGAACGGUACGGGACCCGUUGACGACCCUAGGGAUGAGUCCCCGACUCCACACACACAACCUGCCGAAGAACUGGAAACGAUAACCCUGAACAACGAGCAGCCCGAUCGUCGGGUUAAAAUCGGCACCAGACUCACCCCUAACCUACGAGCGCAGUUCAUAGACUUCUUACGGCAUCAUUCGGAGGUGUUUGCGUGGUCUUACGAAGAUAUGCCCGGCAUAGAUCCUGAGAUCAUCAGCCAUAAACUCAGCAUUUCCCCCGCAUACAAGCCUGUAAGACAGAAGCGCCGUUCGUAUGAUACCGAACGAUACGAAGCGAUGCGCACAGAGGUUGACAAACUUCAAACCAUCGGCUUCAUAAGGGAGACCACGUAUCCGGUAUGGCUGGCAAACUCGGUGAUGGUCCGGAAGGGUACAGGCGGGUGGCGAAUGUACCAAGACUAUACCGAUCUGAAUAAGGCCUGCCCAAAGGACAGCUUCCCGUUGCCACGGAUAGACCAGCUCGUGGACGCCACCGCCGGACACGAACUGCUGAGCUUCAUGGACGCCUAUUCGGGAUACAAUCAGAUAUUCAUGCACCCCCCUGACAGCGAACACACCGCCUUCAUAACGGACAGGGGUUUGUACUGUUACAAUGUCAUGCCGUUCGGCCUGAAGAACGCGGGGGCAACAUAUCAAAGGCUCGUCAACAGAAUCUUCGCCAAGUACAUCGGCAGCAACAUGGAGGUUUACGUUGACGACAUGCUAGUAAAAAGCAAAACUGCCGAGGAACAUCUGCAGAAUCUGUCAGUCCUGUUCGGCAUACUGAAGGACUACCGGAUGAGGCUGAACCCAACGAAGUGCGCCUUCGGUGUAUCUUCCAGAAAAUUCCUCGGAUUCAUGAUCAGUGAGAGGGGUAUCGAAGCGAACCUCGAAAAAAUAAAAGCAAUCAUCGAUAUGGAGAAGCCGAAAACGGCGAAGGACAUUCAAAGCCUUACCGGACGUGUGGCGGCCUUGACUCGUUUCAUAUCAAAGGCUACCGACAAGUGUGUUCCGUUCUUUAAAGCCUUGAAAGGGGGCAAACGGGAUAUCAUAUGGACUGCCGAAUGUGAUAAAACGUUUCAAGACUUAAAGGACUACAUGGGCAGAGCACCCCUCCUAUCAAAACCACUACCUGGGGAGAUUCUCUAUCUAUACCUUUUGGCAUCUGGCACUGCUGUCAGUUCGGUAUUGAUCCGAAAGCCAGAGAGGGCAGAGCUACCAAUUUUCUAUGCCAGCAAGGCACUCCAGAGUGCUGAACUUCGGUAUCCCCCGUUAGAGCAGCUUGCACUAGCCCUGGUAGUCUCGGCACGAAGACUUCGGCCAUAUUUCCAAGCACACGGGAUCAAAGUUCUGACCAACCAACCGCUUCGGCAGGUGCUCCAAAAACCAGAGACUUCUGGCCGAUUGAUCAAGUGGGCGAUCGAACUCGGAGAGUUCGAUAUACAAUUCAUGCCAAGACCCGCCGAAAAGGGUCAAGCCAUUGCCGAUUUCAUCUCCUAGCUCACCCCAUCCACAGCACAGCCGACACCCGAGCCGAUUACCGAAACCGGAAUGCCAAUGGAAGUAGACGCCGAACGGUUCGACACCUCAAAUCCCGUAUGGGUUCUGCACGUCGACGGCUCGGCAAACCAACAGGGAUGCGGAGCAGGCCUGGUACUGACAACACCAGAGGGACUCAAGAUCGAGUACGCCCUCCGAUUCAACUUCCGAACCUCCAACAAUGAAGCAGAAUAUGAGGCUCUCUUGGCCGGCCUUCGGUUAGCCAAGAGCAUGAAUGCGAAACAAAUCAGGAUUCACAGCGACUCCCAGCUCAUUGUGAACCAGGUAACGGCAGACUUCGUGGCCAGAGACGCCUCCAUGAACGCCUACCUUUCAUCCACCCACCAGCUGCUCCAAAACUUCCGAGCCUAUGAGAUCAGGCAGAUCCCCAGAAGUGAAAACAGCCACGCCGAUGCAUUGGCACGGCUAGCUUCGGUAAUAAAUGAUAAAAUCGGAAGAAAGGUGCCGGUGAAAAUUCUUGCCCAACCGAGCACGGUAGCCUCCGAAACAUUUACCGUAUGGUACGAGGAUACAUGGAUGUCUCCUAUCUACUCGUACCUGACCAACGGCACCCUUCCAGAAGACAAAGCCCAGGCCCGAAAGCUUAGGUACCGAUCGGCAAGGUACACCGUCAUCAACGACGUUCUUUACAAACGUGGCUACACAACUCCAUAUCUCAAAUGCCUUACGGCAAACAGGAGGACUACGUCCUUCGGGAGAUCCAUAAUGGUGUGUGCGGCGACCAUUCCGGAUCCCGGUCACUCGCCCACAAAACCUUUCGGCAGGGGUACUUUUGGCCGACCAUGCACUAGGACGCUAUCUCGCUGGUGAAAAAGUGUGAUAAAUGCCAGCGUUUCAGCAGCAUACCGCACAUCCCUGCCGAACCUCUGACAUCGAUUGUGAGUCCUUGGCCUUUCGCACAAUGGAGACUGGACCUGAUCGGUCCAAUGCCGCAGGGCAAGGGCCAGGUGAAAUACGCGGUGGUUGCCGUUGACUACUUCACCAAAUGGGUAGAAGCCGAGCCUCUGGCAACCAUAAUGGCAGCAAGAGUGGAGGACUUCGUCUGGACUCACAUUUGUUACCGGUUCGGUAUCCCAUAUGCAAUCAUUACCGACAACGGCAGGCAGUUCGAUUCGGAACUCUUCAGGCAAUUUUGCACCCGGCUGAAAAUCAACUUGUUUUUUGCAUCACCUGGCACAUCCCCAGUCGAACGGUCAGGUGGAAGCAAUAAACAAAAUCAUCAAGAAGCUACUGAAACGGCAGCUGGACAAAGCCAAGGGAGCCUGGCCAGAAAAGCUUCCCGAAGCACUUUGGGCCAUUCGGACAUCCUACCGAACGUCCACUGGAGAGACCCCUUUUUCCUUGGCUUUCGGUUCUGAGGCCGUGGUGCCCGUGGAAAUUGGCGAACCUUCCUACCGAACGGAAACUUUCGCACCGAAGCCGAACGAAGAAGCACUCUCUCUAAGCCUCGACCUUCUUGAAGAGCACCAGGCACAUGCCAACCUUCGGAAUGAAGCCUACAAGCAACGUGUCUCUCGGUAUUACGACUCCAGGGUCAGACACCGCUCAUUUCGAAUCGGAGACUGGGUCAUGCGGGAGGUAUCCCUAGCAACUAAGGAUGCCACGGAAGGAACCCUCGGACCUUUCUGGGAAGGACCCUAUGAGAUCAUCGGUAUCCUUCGAUCGGGAACUUACCGCCUCAGAGACUCCAACGGCAAGACCCUCGGUCAUCCUUGGAACGUAGAACAUCUCAAAUACUAUUUCAAGUAACUUAGCCUACGGUAGGACAAAGUUGUAACCUCGCCUACGGCAGGACGAAGUUGAAACCGAUUGAAAUGUAUAUGCCCAUUCGGCAGAAAAUUAAUAGAAAGCCUUCGGCACUAUUAUUUCAGAACAUCUUUUUAGAACUCAACUAGCCCACAGCAGCCAAUAAUUACGAUUUCAUGUUCUACGGCAUCUUAUUAGCCUACGGCGAUAAAUGUUUUUCGAAAUUGUUAACCCUACAGAUUCCAUCGGAACUUGUCAAUUUCGAAAUCCCUUUAACAUUAUACAUCCUGUACGAGGCCUUUCGGCAAUAGAACGAUCGGCAAUUGAAAGAAAAUCAGAUUGUUCAAAUAGUGGAGAAAAAACCUGCAUUUAAAUAAAGGAUGCCCUCGGCAUCAAGGUGUUCGGUAUGUACAAAUAAACAAAUAAUAAUAAAACAGUUAUUACAAAUAAUUCAGGCCCUCAGGUUUCAUCCCCGGCAGCGGCCUCGGUAGGUCCGGAGCCUUCGGCGGCGUCCUCCCCCUCGUACUCUUCAAUCAUCUCCUCAGUUAUCCCUUCCGGUAAAGGAGGAGGAUCGGCAAUGAAGUUCAGGUUCAGCUUCUGCCCCGGGUUGUACCUUUUGAAUCGGUACAACAGGUCCGCCAUCUCCGAGCCCACCUCCUUAUCCAAAAGGACAGUGAACUCUUCAGAUGCGCGGUACCCCCGGAUCGCCGACCGAACGGCAGCCUCGAUCUCCGCAGCCUUGGCCCGCUCAGACUCCUCCAAGGCCACCUGCACCGCCUCCUUUGCCGCCUCGGCAUCCCUCGCCGUCGCCAGCGCCGCCUCCAGGAGACCCUUCAUCUCCUCCACCUUUUCCUCCGAAGCUAGAACCCGCCGUUUGGCAGACUCUUUCUCCUUCACCAGGUGGGCAUGCUCCUGGAGCGCCUUGCCAGCCUCGGCAACCUUGGCCCUGCCGUCCUCGUACGCCUUUUUGGCGCGCUCGGCAGCAGAGAUGGCCCGCUUCACGCAGAGCCACAUAUCCAUGGACGCCUGCACACAAAAAAAAAAAUAAUAGAGAGAAUCAGAAGCAUACCCCACUUACGAAAAUAAAACGACGAAGGAAAAGACAAAUCUUACCGAGGCCUGGAGUUGGAAGGCGAGUCCAACCUCCUCCCGAAGAAACUUCUUCGGGAGUUCGUCGAUCUCCGGCAACUCCAUCUGAGAGCCGAGGAUCAUGUGAUUGACGAACUGGACCGUCUUCGCCGGGCAGGCGAUGGUGACGGCCUCGGAAGAACCGUCCUCGUCCUCCACCGUAAGGACAGCCCUCGAGACCUCAGACUGGCGAGGGCGCUUGAGGACCGGCUCGGCCUCGAGAUCGACUGUCUCCGGUCGCUUACCGGCAGCUUUGGAGGCAGCGGCUUCGACACCCAUCCGCCUCGGUGCCGAGCCCUCUUCGCCGACCCGCCUGAGCACGGGCUCGGCACCAAGCUCCAGCAGGCGGUCGGCGAGAGUCUGGUCCUCGGGAUCCACUGCCGCCUGCCGAGCGGAAGCUGCCUCGGGCUGUUUCUUCUUUUUCUUGCCCUCCAGGCCCAUCAUCAGGCGCCUCCUGGAGGAUUCAUUCAUUUUCUUCGCCUUGGCGGCCUUCCUUGCAUCCGUCACUGGUCAAAAGAGUUUGAUCAGUCGGUAAGCAAUAUCAGUAUACGCAAACAAAAUACCUACUGAAGGAAAGAUACACUUACUCUCGGCAGGGUUAACAAGGCCGGCUUUGAUGAGGUUGCCGGUGAAGAGGAAGCGUGGAUAAACUCGCUCGGUAGCGGGUACUCUCAACCUCACUCUGUCGAGCUGCCGGAUUUCACUCGGCUUGGGGCUCGGCUGCUUGAGUUUGCCUGUCAAACGAAGAAAAAUUAAUCGAAAACGCCAAGGGUGAGAAAACGCCAGACUACUGAUCGGUAGAUCGAAAACCUACCGGCAAUCUGGAAUGUCGUGGGAACCGGGAAGCUAGGGGUUCUCCCCGAUGGCGAUUCCCAAUCACCGGAGAGCAACACCCGCCGAUUCCUCCACGACUUCUGAGAAGUCGGCACCGAGCUGAUGAAAUGCCCCCGCUCGGAAGCCUUAAGGCAGUUCGCCUGAACCCAGCCGCCGUGAUCGGCGCUCUUGGACUUGGUAAUGCUGUAUAGGUACGAGAACUGCUCGUAGGAAGGCUCCCCCUCCCCGGCAAUCCCGAACGCAGCAAUUACCCCCAUCAGGGCCACCCAGAAGUUAAGGUUGUACUAGCCGGGAGCGUACCCGAUCUGGGCAAGGAUCUUCUGCACGACAGGCUGCAACGGCAACCGAACCCCUUGCAGAAGAACGUCGGUGAAGAAGGUCACUUCACCGUCCUUUGGGUCGCUGAGGGACUCGACCGGACUCGGUAUCCUCAUCCUCUCCGUGUCCGAAAUAAGGAACUCGGCCUUGAUCUUCUCCAAUUCGCGUUCGGUGAUCUUGUUGGGCUCCAAGUAGUCGACCCCGAACAGCGUCUUCCUAGGCACACCCACCGGUAUAGUAGGCGGCCCUCGGUGGACGAUAGUCACCCUCGGCCGGGAGGGACCGGCAACGCCCUCACUGCGACCGGAGGUGGAGGCCUCAGGCUGAUGCCCCAACGGGCCGACGCGGGUACCGUCUCUAUACACCGCGACCAAGGGUUGCGGUUGCCCCGUCAUGAGCCCUUUUCCGAUGCCGUGGGUGGGAACAGAGUUCACCUCCUCACCGAAUAACUCGGUAUCGGUGUCUUCUCCACCCUCGGCGCCGAGGCUCACGGCCUCGCUGGACGUAUCCCAGCCCGAGGACAACUCCAAGUCGAAAGCGUUGGGCUCACUGCCGAAUGGCGACUCGCUAUCGGACAUCUACAAAACAGAGAAAGGGAUACUAAGGCCCAUGCCGCACUAUCCUACCGAUACCUACAUCGCUACCUAUGGCCACUAGACUACCGAAGGAAAAUCCUAUUUUACGAUCGGCUAGCCUACGCCAUAAGGAGACAUACAACCAAUUAAAAAGAGAGUAUUUUAGGGAGUACCGAACGGUAUCUUACCUUGGGUGGUAUUGGGUGAUUCGAUUGCUGUUCACUCUCUUCGGAAAUCGCCUUGAGUGCGGAAAAUCGCUGAAAAAAUCGCCUUGAUUACCGUUUAAUGUCUUCAGAAAUCGCCUGCGCAGAGCUCUCACUUCACUCUCACAAUUGCAAAGUAAGCUUUACAUCCGGAGCAGCUCCUAUUUAUAGAGGGAGAGCUGUAACGGUACGCCUCGAAAUACUAAACGGCUCUUCAAUGCGCCGUCAAGUGUGCUUUUACUGGCCACGCGUCACCUGACGAAUGGCGCCGCAGACUGCACGCCAGGCACGGAAGACGAAGCGCCAUACUGCCCCUAAACCCUCUCAGCCUCAAACGACCCUUCGCUUCCCAGGCCAAUCUCCUCGAGACGAACCUACAGAACGGCAGGUUAUCCUCCGAACCGCCAUGGAGAACUAAAUUCCCUCCCGAAGGACCUUCGGAAGAGAACUUGGGGGACUACUGUUUAUACCGUAAAUAAACGGCCUAUGACCACCGAACAUGUGGACAGGAUCGAUACUGAUCACAGAACCCCUUCGGCAUUCCCCCUACCGAAGCCAUCUAUCUUGGCCCUUUUGCCAUCAGACACGUGUCAUGCUCACAAUCCAUGUCCAGAGUCCCACAUCGGAAAUAUGAGCAUAGUGCACACCUCCCAAGGCCUAUAUAACGAGACCCAUAUCCCCAAAAGGAGGGGAUCAGAACCAACGGUACGCUAUCGAUUGAUCUGUCAGUUAACUUUACUAAAUCCGUACUUACUUAAGUAUCGGAGAGCCUUCGGCCGGUACCACACCGGUACCCCAAGGAUUUACCGAACGUGCCCUUUUGUAGGUACCUUCCCUUCCGAAGACAAGCACUUACCGAAGACAGUCACCUACCGAAGGAAUAAUUUAACUAAGUUGACGAAAUACGUGCUGAACCACUUUUUCGCAUCAACAUAUAUCAUUAUUAAAACUCAUAGCAUAAUUUUAUUCACUAAACCCAUAAUUUUGAAUUAAUUGUCAUGAAGUGUGCAUGGAGAAGACUCAAACAUAAUGAUAAAUUAUAUAUUAUUGUAAGUGGCAUUUAAUUUUGAAUUUUGAUCUUAUGAAAUAUACUUUGACCCUUUCCUCAACUAGUUGGGGUUGAUGAUUCCCUUAAUUUGUGAGGUUAUCGUCCUAAAGAUUUUUUUAUUAAUUAUUAUUAUUUUUUAUCUUUGUGGUCAACAUUGUGAAACAUAAUGGAUUUGCUUUACAUAUUUUAAAUGCGGGGGUGCUUUAUAUUCAUGACCUUGAUAUAACCUCCAACUAAUUAUUAAAUAAGUAUUUUUUUGGCCAACUUGUUGUGUCGGUGCGAAGUUUUUUUAUAUUAUAAAAUUUUAUUAUUAGACUAAUUUAUCUUAAUUUUUUUAUAUGAAAAUGUGUGCAAAUAAUGAUGAUCUUGCAUAGAAUUUUGGUGGAGACUUUUUAUGGUCUUACAAGGUCAUAUUGAGAAUCGAGAAAAUACAAUGACAAUUGGGAAAUGCGAUCAUGAUUUCGGCCAAUUGGAGUGCACAUAAAGGGAGUAAGAGAAUCCUUAAAUACUCCCUAUUCAUGGUUAAUUUUAUUUAAUGAAUUAAGUGCUAUAUUGUUUCUCAUAAGCAUCAACAAGUGUACUUAAAGUUUCAUGGACCAUCAGAAAUUCAUAUUUGGACACCAAAGAAUUGAGAGGUACUCUUGAUCAUAAGAUUUGAUGUAUGAUAUAUUAACAUUAUACUUCAAUGGAUAUCGAUCGAUGCGUAUGUUGAGAGGACCCGCCCCGAAUUCCUCGGAACCUGGGAUGAAUUCUAUGCAAUUUUUGACAUCAAACUGAUGCUGGGCCCACUUACUAACGACAUAGUCUCUCUUCCAAGUUAGGGAAAAGAGAAGCGAGACUUUCUGCCAAAAUUUUGACAGUCUCCAUUGAAAAAUGGACAUUUCCCAAAAUUUUCAACAUGUUAGAAACACAAUUAUAAACACCAACCAACAGAAUGCAUAAGAUAAUAACAUGCAAUUGUAUGGCCUUUUUCGUUCCGGCAACUACUACGGGCCUGGGCUGUCGUAAAUAGCAAAAUAGAUAAAAUUGCCCCUUGAGCCUGAGUUUGAAGAUCAAGCCCAAAAAUGCUUCGAAAGGACAGAGAUGCCUUAGGAAACACCUUGGUUACCUUUACCAGCAAAAAUAAUGGUUGCUUGCAGAUAAAUUCUUUAUGCUUACCGGUAGAAUCUUAGCUUGGCAUGAGAGGCUUGUAGCAUGGCAGCAAAGUUGCCAUGAGUUUAGCACUGAAGAGAAAGUUAUGAGUUCUUGGGGGAAAAAGAAUGAAUAGAGCACGAAUUUACUGGGUCUUGCAGGUGAGAGAGGAAGCUUGCUCUCUGGAUGUGGUUGUUUUAGGUAAUGAUGAAGUAGUUGGGUGCUAGGUAGUUUCCGACAACUUGACGAAAACUCUGUCAAGCUUUAGAAAAGUUUACCUAAAAGGAAAAAUGGGAAGAGAUGGAAGGAUGAGCUCGAAAUUGCAGAUGUUUCAAAGGUGAGAGAUAAAGCUUGCUCUCCAUAUGUGUGUUUUGAUGAUGGGUAGGAAAUGCUUCUUUUUAUAGGCACUGGAAGUUAUCAUUUUUCAAGAAACCCUAAUGGUUUCUAUCUAAUUUAACCAAGUCUUUCCCUUCCUUUCUCCCCUCAUCCCUUCAAUCAUCCUAUUUUGGUGAAAUUUCCUCUGCCCAUUUGCACAAAAUCAUGGAUUUUUGGGAGCUCAAGGCCUCUUUCCAGCAGCUGCCUCAGUGGAGAAUCCCCAUUUUCAACCAUCUUUCUUCCUUCUUUUCUCCCAUCUUCCAAGGCUAGGUCUGAUGAGGGAAAUAAAUGGGCAUGUACACUGGUUUGAAGGGUGUUUUGCUCAAGUAUCCCUUGGUUUUUUGGAUUUUUUGCUUGAAAGUUGUUCCCUCCCAUGUGCUGGAGCUUCCCAGCAGCUUACGCACAUGGAUAUUUUGGCUUUCAUCGUGGCUUUUGUUUUCAGCUAGGUGCUGGAGAUUUUGUAAAUAUUUUCUUGAGUCGCUUGGGCCUUCUAGGACAAUAAGUUGGUUUAUCAAGUGAAUGGGUUAACUUCAUCAAUUGUUGGGCUAUUUUGGUUGAGUUAAUGGACUAUUUUGGUUGAAAUAAUGGGCUAUUUUGGUUCAAGUAAUGGGCUAUUUUUCUCUCUUUGUGCUCACCUACAUAUUUGGGCUUAAGAAAUGGGCUUGAGUUCCGGGGCCCCUAAGCAACCCCGGGAUUUCUCGGCCCAUCAAUGGGCCUCAUGUCAACUUAUUACCAUCCAUACCACAACCCACUCAAGCAAGCAUCGGGCAUCUUGAGUGGCUUCGGCCCACUUAAGCUUGUAGCGUGACGUGUUGCUUAUUUGCUUGGCGUGGCAUAUGUGCAAGCGCAUAUGACGAACUUUCGCUUCCCCAAAUCGGGUUUCUUCUCGGUAAGGUAUCGCAUUGGGCCAAGAAUUUAAUUGGGCCGAAUCGUGGAUUUUUUGGGCCUCAACAGAAAUUCACAUAAUAAGCCUCCGGCCUUAUAUCCAACCCAAGUAUGGGCGAUAACAGAGCAUAUCUAAAGGAAGACUUCAGUUUACAACCGAAAUGAAGUUCAACGGAAAUUAAACAAAUAAAAAUGCCCAACGACAGUAAUAGUUUAAGUCACGGGUGCACCUAGGUAAAACCCCAGGUUGCCUACAUACCCCUUGGUGAGGGAUCAAGCCAUUAGUAGUUCUUUAAUCAACAAUCACAAUUCAGAUAAUAUUCAAUUGUUUAAAGUAAUGCCAACGAUUUAAUUUAGAUUCAUUACAACAUCAAAAUCGACAAGGAAACCACUAAACACUUUAUUGGUUCCUUUCCUUUUAUCAGUUCUUUUCCGCAACCAUACCCUAUCCAAGGUGUACGUUGCCGAACAACACCUUCCAAACUAAUAAAUCAGACAUUCAUAGCUGCUCGACCGAAAACAAAUCCACAACACACACACACACACACACACACACACACAUAUAUAUUAAUAUACACACCUCACACCAUCAUCAUGUAUAAGGGGAAGAAAAUCUAAUCCGAGGAUCGUUUGACUAGAUCAUAUGGAGGAAUCCUCAACAACCAUGUGGCUAGGGACGAGCCGUCAUCCGGGGGACUUGACUAACCCGCACGCACAGCAGAAUCCUCAAUACUCGUAUGCCUGUGACAAGUCCUACGAACGCAGACUAUCCCACUAAAGGUCUAGGGUAGCACCCCGUCAAGGGUGUCCGGGUUCUGACAUAUCCGAACAAUAUGCACAGUUUUCCAAGUUCCAUCAAUUCCAGAAUCAGUAGCCAGGUACAUGAGAUGACGUGUCAUCACCAAGAUCCAAAAUCCACUUUCAUAAACUAGCAUAUAUAAUAAAAGAUAAUCUCCUCAAAAUCUACUAUCCAAAUAUUCAAAGGUUACCGAAACCCAUAUACAUAAUAAUAGUAAUGAUAGAACGAUAAUAAUAAUAAUAAUAAUAUUAAUGAUGAAGAGCAUCCUCGAAAUUCCCAUAAUCACGUAUAAUAUACUAUUCAGCAAACCAGAUUUUAUAACCCUUAUUAUUCACUUUCCAAGACAACCCUUUGAAAACCCGUAUCAAUAUCCAAUGUACCUAUGACCCAUACACACAUACAUAUAUUUGAGUGUAAACAUAUAAUCAACAUUUAAUUAUAUCCUUAUUGACACCAUACCCUUUUGUCAAGUCAUAAGUGAAUUAUAAUAACAAUCAUCCAAAUAAAAUGAUAAUAAUAAUAACAAUAAUAAUGAUAUAUAGACGGAGAGUCUCGUGUCACAUGGUAAAGGCCGAAAUCGAACUGAUAGACCGCUUUCACAACCUCCUUAACCAAAAUACUCGUUACCAGACAAUCAGUUUCCAACCUAUAUCACUAUAUCAAAACAAGUCCAAAUUUCCAACAAUAUGCCAUAACCUAACCACCAUUCAAAAUCCUACGUAUUUAUCAUUGGCAAAUAACUUCAGUAUUACUAUCCGGUACAGUAAGACCACAAUCAAAACAUACACCCUAACCUAUGACUCUGAGAAACUUAACGUGUGUACACAGCCUUGGCAAGGUCCCAAAGCCAUUCUAGUACCUUCCCAAAAGAUGAGAAGGUCUCAAAAGGCCCAUGGUAAACAGUUGGUCAAACUUCUCGUUUUUGGUCAACCGAGCCCACGAGGCCCAAGACCUCCGAUUUCUAAUUCGAAAGUUUCUACGGGUUCAACAAGGUUUAUUAUUAUACAUGUCGUCCAAGUUUGGUCCGAAUCGGACAGUCAGAUUGCUAGCGAUCGCACGAUCGGACGGUCACCGUUUUACGCAAACUUUAAGUCAUUGAAUCAGAGCAUCUGGGUCUCCGAUUCAUGAUCUGCAAAUUCCUACACGAUCCUAGAGGUACCUAGAUCAACAUAUUUGGAAAUGGAUUCGAUCCAAUGGUCCGAACAUAUCAAACCAGGAUAACGUCUAAUAUAUGUAAAUCUGAUCGAUAGUCAAAUGAUAACCAAAUUCAAAUCUGAACAUACCGUCGUGUUUGGGACGACAUGGGGAAUAUUCUAGCUUACAAACCCAACUCUGACACCCCGCCAAUGCACCGCCAUGCGCUGCCACCGCUGGCCAAUAAUUAUACCAACAGAUCAAACACAUCAAGGUGAUUAAGUUUCAUACAUGCGUCGAAGAUUAAUUUGGUCAUUAAAGCCCUCGAACGAAUGGUUUUCUUGUCAGAAAACCUAUAAAUUUCUAGGUUUGGAUUCAAUAGUUUCGAAAUGAAAUCAAGUUGGAUCUUCGAGAGAAAUCAUAGAGGGGAGGUAGGGGAGUGUUUUCGGUGUGAUAACACGGCUGGGGGUGGCCGGAGUUGGCCCGAAAAACUAUCGAGAGUCACAGCUUCGAAACAGCGGGUUUUGAGCCUCUAUUUCUAUUGAUUUUCUAGUUUAAUCCUUAGGAAUCAAAGCUGGAAAUUUAUAUGGAUGUGAAGAGGAGAGAAAGACGACAAAAAAAAUGGAUCCAAUUUCGUGGCCUGAGACGGCCGGAAUCGUCCUCGGAAGGCCGCUGGGUUGUGGCGGUUGAUAGAGGAGAGAGAGAGUUAUCGUGAGGGAGAGAGAGAGAGAGAGAGAGAGAGAGAGAGAGAGAGAGAGAGAGAGAGAGAGAGAGAGAGAGAGAGAGAGAGAGAGAAGAAAAUCUGAUUUUUUAAAACCAAUUUUGAAAUAUUUAUGGUUGUGCCACUGCACUUCUGUUGAUCAUAACUUCUUCGUUACAACUCCAAUUUGAGCCCACUAUGUGUCUACGGACUCAUAUCGACGCGAUCUACAUCAUGGUGCCAUUUAAUUCCCCAAAAUACUACCUGGUUAAAAAGUAAUCAAAAUGACCCUAUCUCCGAGGGAAAAAUUAUAAUUUCCUAUUUAAAUAAUUCAAUUAAUUUAUAUAAACUAAAUAAAUGAUUAAACAUUGGAUCGGGUUGUUACAUAUGUAAUUUCCAAUUAUAUUGCGAUGAAAUCCACUAAUCAUUUGUGUGCAAGAUUUUGCAGGAAAUAUUUUAAAUAACAUGACCCACAUUAUAUAUGCCUUGCAAGGGCUAAUGAUGAUAUGCAUGCCUUGUGGAGGAGGCUACUAAUGCAAAAUAUUGAGGGCGAUGUGCUUAAGCCCAUAAGGGAGUCACCUAGGGGGGUAACUCAACUUUUGUGAUUGGCGAUCCUAUGAAGGAAGUUCAAUGUGGUAGAAACAAUCCAUACUACGUGACUCAUAUAACACUCAUAAAAUUAUAGAGAUAUCUUCGAGAUAUUCUGCUCAUCCCUAAGGCAAAAAUGAUAUUUUAUGUGACGCCAGGAAGGGAUUUAUCCCUGAAUAAGUUUCGAGGCGGGCAAUCUCCCGCAGGGUGCAGGUCACAUGUACUCUUGGAGAACUCACCUAAGUGAGAGACGUCGUGAGACUGCGACUGUGAGAAUUGGGCUAUUCUCUAGUAACUCUCAUGAGAAUCAAGAUUAGUACAUGGCCAUAAAUAGUGCUACCCUGCAUACAAGUCUCAACCAAUGCUAUGUGUGUGAUAUGUUGAAGUUUGGUCAAAUGUGUCGAAUCAAUACUUUGUAUAAUAAGGUUCCUCAAAUGGAGACUAUCAUUACUAAGUAAAGGUUCAAGCCUAUAAGGCACCUACACCUAUUGCAUAGUAUUAUGUCGCCCAUAUAUAAAUAUAUAUUUUCACUAUUUUUUGUUGUGGUAAAAUUUUGAAAACCUUGUGGGGGAUUGUUGGAAUUUAAAGGUUUUAAAAAUUUUAUCGUUUUGAUUUAUUUAAUUAUUUUGGUUGUUUUAUUUUGUUUAUUGUGGGGGGUUAUAAAUAUUUAAUUUUCAGGUUUUAUUUCUAUAUUGAAUGCCUUAAUUUUAUAGUUUAAUGUGGUGGAGGUUAAAUGUUUUUGGAUGCCUAUAAAAGGCCAAUCCUCCUUAACAUUUGAUAUACUAAUACAAUACCAUACUACCACAACCACCACUCCACCACUACAAUUUGAUUCUCUCCUCUUCUACAUUUUAUACUUUCUUUUUCUCUACUUAUAUUAUUAUUUUUGGGCAACAAUUCUAUGACUUGGAGACCUAUAUCCGACUGUGAACGUGCUCAUAGUGGACCUUGAGUCUGUGUAUUGGGGGUCGUAUAUUGGAGUCCUAUAGACUGCCAGUAUCUGCACGUAGGGAGGCUAUAAAGGCUUUAGGACAUCAUCUUUGAUGUGUUUCACCAUACCAAGCUUACUUUCAUAAUUUUAAUUUAUUUUACUUUAUUUACCUAUUAUUUGUUUAUAUAGUUUUACUUUACUUUAAAAGAAUUUCCAAUUUCUUUAAUAUAUUAUUUAUAUUAUAAAGGAUUUUGCUUUUGGCUUUUACGAAAAGAGAAAAACUAUAAUUUUUAUACCAUAAGGUAUAAGGACUAAAUUGGCCAAAUUAUUAAGACACAUGAGCUAUUUUAUAUUUAACCCUAGAACUAAUGUUUUAUUUUUUCAUAAGCAUCAAUUUAUAAAUGGUUGAUGAUGGAGGUGGUGGCGAUAACGUCAGGUGUGAUAUGAACUUGUAGGCGGCCAUCGUAGUGGGGGAACUUGUAAGAGAAUGUAGUGCAUGCUCAUUAUUUCUUUCACAACCGCACUUUCUAAUAUAUGUCUCCUUGGCUUGCUUCCUCAAAUUUCCAAGCUUUCUAAGCCAUGUAGCGUGUGGCUUGUCACCUUGAAUUGAUUUUUUUUCUUUAUGUAUGUUUCUUAAAAGGCGAUUAUUACUUAUUUGUGCUUAAUCCUUAUGAUCUAAUCAAAGACUAGAUGCUUUACCCCCUUGACAUCUUAAAAACUUACCGUCAACUCUAGACAAAAGACCAAUCGUGUAUAUCCCCGACUCAGAGAGACUGUAAUGAGGGGUUUAUAACGUAUAAAAUAGGCCGAGUUGCAUUGGCCGAAGCCCAAAUGGGUUGGGCUUAGGCCAUUGGACAUUUUCUAUCUUCGAGUGGUUUAUAGUCCAACCCAAUCGAUAUUAGACUGGGUUUUGGGCUUAGAGAGUUUGAAUUUGGGCUUUGAGCUCAAAGUUUCUUUUACCUUUCACUAUACUAAAAAUGAUGGUAUAAAUGAUUGUAAUACUAAAAUAAUAAGAAAUAAGCAUAAUAUAAGUGAAUAUCAGUGGGGGAUAAACUAAACCUUAAUUUACUUUAAUUGUGAUUCUGUGAAUAAGAACUACAAAAGCAUAAUAUAUGUGAAUAUCAGUGGGGGAUAAAGUUGGUUGAUGUAGUCUUUUUAUACAUCUUCCUUUAUUAGCUUUAGAAAUUUCUGAUUAAUAAAAAUAUUGUAAAAAAAAAAGUGUAAAAAAUUAUGGUUGUUUGUUUUUUUUUAAAAUUUUAUAUAUAGAAGCGGUAUUGAGAGAGGGAGAAUCGAACUUAGGUAGAACCUCGGACAAAUAUCACUAGACUAAGGGCCGGUUUGACAUUGUUGUGCUGUGAAAAUAAUCACUGUCAGAUUUGCUGUGAGAGAAAUCAGCUGUGAGAGAAAGCAUUUUGGCGUUUGGUAAACUUUUUGUUAAAAGUAUUGUUGGUAUUAAUUCCCACAUAAUCAGAAAAUGAUUGCCGCAUAAUCAUUAAAUCCAGCGCUUCUUUGAAACUGAUUCCUGCAUAAUCAGAAAAUGAAAGCACCUCAUUAGCUGCUUUCCCUUAUAGCUUUCUCUCACAACAAUUUUUAACAAUAAGUGAUUUUCUCAUAGUUUACCAAACGGGCUGUGAUUCUAAAUUUUUUUUAAAAAUCACUUAUCACCCCAAAUAAGCAAUGCCAAGCUGGUACUAAAGGCUAGUUAGAGUUCUAAUUUGUUAUAUUGGGAAGCCUUAAUUUUUUCGAACCAUGUAAAAUUAAUAUCUCGAAAGUCUUCUUUUAUUUUUAUUUUUUAAUUAUUAUUCGGGAAAUCCAGCUAUGACCAAUUUAUUUUUAAUAUUUGCACUACUAAUAAAAAUUCAAUAAUUAAUUUUCAUUUAUAUAUUAAAAACAGAACAUAACUAGAUUGGGAUGGCCAUUCUUGGUCCUUAUUUUUGAGCGAAUUAGUCCUUGAAUUUACACUCGAUUUCCAUUUUGGUCCUCAAACUCUCUCUUUCAUAUCAACUUGGUCCUACCUUUACACUUUUCGUAAGUUUUAAGAGGUAAUUAGUGACCAAAUUGACAAUUUUACCUCUAAAGUUAACGGAAUUUGACAAUGAGACCAAUUUGACACAUGUGAAAGAGGUGAAAGGCCACUUAAGUGAACAAAUUACCUGAAUGACCAAAAUGAAAGUCAAGUAUACGUUAGAGGUCCAUUACUUGAAAAAAAAAAAAAACUUCAUUUAAUAAUGGAUGUCUAAUCAAUAACCCAAUCUAUGUGACAACCACCCAUUAAAAUCUUGGAGUACAUAAUUAAAUGAAUGGUCAAUGAUGAUGGGUUUGAAGCUCUAAAAUUCCUGGGAAAGUAACUGAAAUUAUGUAAGUAAAAGCCAAAGAGGAUGAGGAUAUGUGUGAGAGUGAUAGGCCAACAAGGAAACUCUCACCUUUAUGUUGCAUGAAAUGAGAUGAGAUGAUAAAGCUCUCAAUUCCAUGUGAGGCUGUUGCUUCAUUCUGCCACUUUAAUAAGUGGGUCUUGAAUCUAUAAAGUAGUCACCACCAGACUAUUUGUGUCUCAACAACACAAAAUUGGAAAAUGCUUUUCCUUAUUGACCUCCGUUGUCUUCCUGUUCCCGGUGUCAGAGUUUGUUGAACCACGGCCCACAAUUGUUCCUAAAUUAUUAUAACUAAUAUUUGGCGUUAUUCAUGUGUGUAUUUUAUUAUUAUUUCUAAAUGAAAGUAGAUCAUAUAAUUAUAGCUAUUAUAUAAGAGUUAUGGUAUGGCCACAUCACAAAGUGACAAGACAAUCGAAGCCAAAGCUUACCAGACUUGGAAAGCGAAAGCUAACAUUCCAGUCUGUGCCUGUGGUGUGGCUAUGUCAUGUGUGUCUCUGCAUUGUCCACCUUUAAUUUUAGUGUUUCAUAUUUCAAAUUGAAUUUUAGUAUUUCAUAUUUCUCUCACUCACACUCACAGUGAAAUAAAGCUUCUCUUCCCUGCAAGAAUCUUUCUUUUUCUUUUGCUUUCAUCAGUUCCGGUAUAACCAUGGCUUCCCUUUGAGUUUAGCUUUCCAAAAUAUUCCAGAAGAUCAAAAAAUAAACAGAGAGAGAGAGAGAGACAGAGAGAGAGAGGAAAAAACAUAGUGAAGAAAAUUAAAACGUCUGUCUGUUGCGGUUUGCAUCCCAAGCUUCUUUGAACCCGUGUCACUAGAUUGUCUUGUUGUGGUGCGCAGUGAAAAAGCUGGCUUCUGGAGAAGAAACCCAUCUCAUGUGUCAGCCAGUAAGAUUUGCGGGCACCUUGGAAACUGAUUGUUGAAUGAGUGGUCAAGAAAAAUUUGGGAUUUUGUGAAGCAGGUAUGCAUGUUUUCUUUUUAAAAAAUUUGUUUAAAUUUAUAAUAUUUUUUGUCGGGUUGGGUUUAAAUUUUGUUGCAGUUUGAUAUAUGAGAGUAGGAAUGUGCUUAUUAAUCUGAGUUGGGUUUGUGUUUGUGGGCUUUCAAAGUUUUCCCUUCUUUCGUUUGAGGGGAUUUCAUUUCUGUGCUUUUGGGGCAGUUGUGAAUAUUUACUUGGUUUGAAAGUCACCAUCAAUUGAUUAGUUAGUCUUAACCAACUAUUGUCACAGGGGUUUAGCAGAAGCUUGUGGAUUUGUAAUUGUCUGCAACUGUCAUUUCAUUUUUUGUGAAAGGAAAAGAAAAAGGAAAUAUCCAGAAGAUUUUAUCAAUUUAUCUGAGUUUUAUUUUAUCUCAAGCUCCUGGACUGGUAUAUCGGAACUCUGAAGUCAAAUUCAUUUGUUUAUUCAAUCCAUUGAGGUGAGAUGGCCUCUGAUUUUGUUGAGAGAAAAUCUUUGAUACUGUCAACUUACUUUUGUCUCUGGGUUUUUUUGUUAUUUAUGUGUCCUUGUUCUGACUGAAAUUCUUAUAUUUUGAGUAUAUAUGUGCAUACAUAUCUAUACAUAGUAACAUGUUCAAUAUGUUUGUAUGCCAACAUAAUAUGAGUUCAGGAGUUCUGUAUGUGGUUUGGGAAGCUGGAUGCCGCUACUUUCAACAAUGGGGUCUCGUAGUCCUUGGAAAGCCUAUAUCUUAUGAGCUUGGCCCCUGCAGCCGAUUCUGCUGAGACUGCUAUGGCAAAAGUAUCUCUGUGUUCUAUGCCUUUGGUUCUUGCUAUCAUUCUCUUGUCAGCUACUCAUUCCGAACAACAUCAAUCCUCCCAAGCUCAGACCCUUUUGAGAAUUGUACGAUUUUUAAACUUUCCAACUGUUUUGAACAGCUGGAAUAACUACAAAGAUUUGUGCAACUUUGAAGCAAAUUCUUCUUUGGCUGUCGUAUGCUAUGAAGAAAACAUAACCCAGCUGCAUAUAAUCGGUGAAAAGGAUGCUCCUUUGUUGCCUCGGAACUUUUCAAUUGAUUCCUUCAUAACAACUCUUGUUAAACUUCCGAGCUUGAAAGUCCUCACAUUGGUUUCUCUUGGCUUAUGGGGCCCCUUGCCCGGUAAAAUCGCACGCUUGUCAUCACUGGAAAUACUUAAUCUGACUUCAAAUUUCCUGUAUGGCGCCAUCCCUCUGGAGCUUUCAUCUCUAACAACCCUCCAGACGCUUAUUCUUGAUGAUAACAUGUUUUCUGGACCGCUUCCGGAUUUGCUGAGUUCACUUCCAGUUUUGGCUGUUUUGAGUUUGAAGAAGAAUUUGUUCAAUUCAUCUUUGCCCAUUUCCUUGAGUGAUUUGGAAAAUCUUAGAGUGCUCGGGCUUUCACAUAACCACUUCUAUGGGGAAGUGCCUGAUUUUAGCCGUUUAACAAACCUUCAAGUUCUUGAAUUGGAAAAUAAUGAUUUUGGACCUCAGUUUCCCAAACUUGGAAAAAAGUUGGUCACCCUUGUACUGAGCAAGAACAAAUUUAGGUCUGCCAUCCCUGCUGAAAUCAGCUCCUAUUAUCAGCUAGAACGGCUAGACGUUUCUUCCAAUAUGUUUGUGGGGCCAUUUCCAGCAUCACUGUUAUCUCUACCUUCAAUGACUUAUCUUAAUUUUUCAGGAAACAAAUUCACGGGAAUGCUUUUUGAAAAUAUGUCUUGCAAUGCUGAACUUAAAGCUGUGGACUUGUCCUCAAAUCUUUUGACCGGAAGCUUACCUAAAUGUCUUCUGUCAGAUUCUAAGGACAGGGUUGUUCUGUAUGCUAGGAAUUGUUUAGAUACUAGAAAUCAAAAUCAACAUCCAUUUCCAUUUUGCCGUAAUGAAGCAUUGGCUGUUGGAAUAAUACCUGAGAGAAGCAAGCAAAAACAAGCUUCGAAAGCAGCGCUUGCCUUAGGUUUAAUUGGAGCGAUUUGUGGAGGGGUUGUGCUUGUUGGCCUAAUUUACUUCAUACAUAGAAGAAUGAAUACCAACAAGACAAUGAAGAAAUCUCCACCAAGAUCAAUAACAGAGAACGCAUCAAGUGGAUAUACCUCAAAGUUACUAUCAGAUGCGAGUGAGUUCUCAUACAUCUUUCUCUCCAUCUCUCUCUCUCUCUCUCUCUCUCUCUCUCUCUCUCUCUCUCUCACACACACACACACACACACACACACACACACAAAAAUUUGAUGAAUCUUUUAUUUUAAAGCAUUAGCAACUUGUUCUCAGGCAUAUGAUUCUUUCUAGCUUAGCUAUAUCAAACAAAGAUAUGAUUAUAGAUGAAGUUGGAAGGGCUGUAAUGGCAAAAAAAAAAAAAAAAAACUCUUUAAUUAAUGUGAGCCGCAAAGAAGCACAAAUCCUGGAUGCUGAUUGGCAAUAUCUUCCAAUGUAUUCAAAAUGUCUAAUAAUAUGAUAUUUUGCUUUCACCUAAAGGAUAUGUAUCUCAAACAAUGAAGAUGGGAGCGCUUGGCCUUCCAGGUUAUCGAACCUUUUCAUUCGAGGAACUUGAGGAGGCUACACAAAAUUUUGAUACAUGUACUUUCAUGGGUGAAGGCUCACACGGACAGGUAUAUAACAUAAACAUGUUACUUUCUUGUUGAAGCAGUAUGUGGUAUUGUUGAGUUUUUGUUGAUGCUUUUGAAUGCAGUUUGGUGUGAUUAACUAUUAAUCACAUCCUAGAAAUUCUUCCCAGCUUAAAUAAUUGGUCGUUACCGUGCUAUUGUUCAAUUUUUUGUAUCAACUGAGGAUAGCUUAUUUUGAUUUUAGGAAGCAUUGAUUAGUUACAUCAUGCUUUCCUUCAUAGUAUACCAGUGCUUGAAAGGGUGAACUUCUUUUACGCACAUCUUUUCUUUAUUGUUUUCAUUGUCAUGUGAUCUAAGACCCGGUAUUUCAAUGGAGCUGAAUGUAUGAUGACAUGCACUUGUGCUACCAUUGUGCACUACUUGGACAAACUAUAGAUUUCUUGAAUAGAAAAAAAAAAAAAUGCUGUUGAUAUUCUAUUAGCAUCGAUAGAUCAUAAAUUCAUGUUUUCGUCCCUCAUGAUCUCAGAUGUACAGAGGCCAGUUAAAGGAUGGUUCUUUUGUUGCCAUCAGAUGCUUAAAAAUAAAAGGAAGUCACAGCACGCAAAAUUUCAUGCACCAUAUAGAGCUAAUUAUGAAACUGAGACAUCGCCACUUGGUCAGUGCUCUUGGACACUGCUUUGAGUGUUACUUGGAUGAUUCUAGUGUCAGCAGAAUAUUUCUUGUUUUCGAAUAUGUACCGAAUGGCACACUAAGAAGCUGGAUCUCUGGUAAUUCAAUGCAAUCUUUCAUUCAGUUUCUCAGGAUAGAGGAUACAGGAGUUGCACUACUUUUAAUACUUCAUUGAUAUAAAUAAGUCUACAUAUCUUACAGACCAAUUUUUUGAAGGCAAUACUUCAGGCACUGAUUUAUCUGAUUUGCUACAUAAGCCAAUGGUUCACUUCUGUCAAAUUCUUUUCCAAAAGCACUACACUGUAGGGACAACUAACCCACACUUGUUUCCUCCAUCCUGAACCUUUUCCUUUCAAUUCAUACAUUUAUGUGAUAUUCUUCUUCUUCUUUUUUUGUUUUUAUUUUUUAUUUUUUAUAAUUUGGAAGAGGGACGUCGCAGACGAUCACUUACGUGGACACAACGUAUAGCAGCUGCAAUAGGCAUAGGAAAGGGCAUUCAGUUUUUGCACACAGGGAUCAUUCCUGGUAUAUAUUCAAAUAAUCUUAAAAUAACAGACAUUUUACUGGAUCAGAAUCUUGUUGCAAAAAUUAGCAGUUACAACCUUCCUAUAUUAGAAGAAAGUAUGGAACAGGUAAGAAGAAAGUUUUAGUUAAUUGGGUUGUCAAUUUGAUUUAUUGAAGCAACCAUUAUGAAUUGGUUUUCAGCUCUGCUCAUCCUUGUAGGGUGGUCAAGGAGUUUCUUCAGGUGGAUCCUUAACUUCCAGUGGCGGUUCAAGGUUUGCAAUGAAAAUUUGAAAUGUCUUAAGUAACAUACUAGAAUAGCGAAACCCUUGAAAGAAGAUCUUCAAGCCAAAUAAAACUUCUUCGAGUAGGCAAUCUGCAAACAUAAUAGGUCAAGAGGUUAAUGACUUGUACAUGACAGACAAAUUUUAUUACUUUUGAUGAUUAUCUUAGUCCUUGUGCUUGUUGACACCUUGUCACCUCUUGCCACCUUCACGGAGAGGUCCUGAGCUACAUCUAGUUAUUAUCACCUAAAGUACACCUACUUAUCAUAUGUAGAUUAUUCCGUUUAAUGCAUGCAGUUACCUGUAAACUAUAACCAUUGUGCUAUGUUGCUUGACAGGAUGAAGCACGACGACAGGACCGAUGUUCACAACUUUGGAGUAAUAUUGCUGGAAAUGAUCAAAGGCAGACCAGUGAAGUCUGAGACUCAAGUGGAAGUUUUAGAAGAUCAGGUAAAAGCACUCUGCUUUUUGUUAUAUUUUCUUCAAGCACUCUGUUGUCACUGAAAUCAACAAAAGACAUGGUUGUAUCAGUUCUAGACGUUUAUCACUUUAAAAUUUACCCUAUCCUAUGACAUGGACCUGAACAUCAUUUAGUGAACCAAUUUAGUUAACAUAUUAGCGGUGUUAGCAGCAAUAUUGAUACGAACCUUGGACAGAAAUAUAUAUAAUGUUCUCACAAAGCUUAUGACACCACCCCUACUAUGUAAUUUGACCUUUCAUGGAAGACUUAAUACAUGGCUAAUUUCAACUGCAGCUGAACACUAGCUUAACCAAUCCCUUCAACCAGAGCAUUUGGAUUGUAAGACAGACUUUCAACAAAUCAAUCCACCAUUGAGGUAAUAAGAAUAACCAGGAACUUCCUAUCAAGAUUCAAAAUCCCCAACAUAGUCUCCUCACAUCAAUCACCUUCCCUACUAGAUCUCUUUCCCCUGAGUUACUUACACUAUGGUCUUACCAGGCCUUUGAUUAAACUUAGAAUCAGACUUCAUUACAAGGCCUUCAGGAUAGAAAGAACUGCUUGGUUACUUAUCAACUGUCAAUAUGAUCUUCCUAACAUCAAUUAUAUUUAAAAUAAAAUAAAAACUCAUGAUGACAGCAAAGAUACCAUCAGAGUUUUGGUUUGGUCUUCUUGGUAGAUCUAAACCUCUAUGCUUAGGAGAUUGGUUUCGGACUAAUUACAACUGAGAAUUCAAAUUUUUAUGGAAAAUAAUUGUUAUUUUUCCCUUUCCUAGAAAUCGGUAUUUGGUGUAUUUAAAGAACAGAAAAUGUUCCUGCCCUGCAUUAUGAAUUAGGGGGGCUUGGGAAAGUUAUAACACCUAAUCAAUUUACAUACAUUCAUUAACUCCAUGCAGCUAGAAGUGGCCCUUACAGCUGAUGAAGCAGCUCGAAGAAGCAUGGUUGAUCCACUAGUUAGGCAGACAUGCUUGGAUCAGUCCUUGAAGACGCUGAUGGAAAUUUGUGUGAGAUGUCUGUGUAAGGAUCCAGCAGAUAGACCUUCUAUUGAGGAUGUUCUGUGGAACUUGCAGUAUGCUGAACAAGUUCAGGAUGCAUGGCAGGGAGGAGAAUCCCAGAGCAGUGAGGGCUCUCCAGUUUCACCUUCAAUUCCUUCACGCCUCACCUAUUAGCGGUGAGUUGCAGGUUCCUUAGCCAUAUAUAUAUUUCCGUCUGCAGAUAGACAUUAGUUACGGAUUUGUGCAGAGGGAAUGGCACUAGUAAAAUAAAAGAAGAUUCUGUCAACAGGAGUCUUUUUGUUAUGCUAGCUGCUUCAUCUCCAUCCUGCCUAAUGCCCCAAUCAUGUUGCCUAAAAGCUUUCCAUUUCCUUUGUGAUCCUUGAGAAUCCACGCCAUAGCUAGCUACACAAAGACAAUUGAUGGUUGUAGAGCACAUCCUUCACAUUGCUCAUAUUAAGGGAGUGUAAACGAUGACUUUAUAGGUUACUGAACCCAUCAAUUGAGAUUUAUUGGUUUCCAAAUCCAACAGAAAAGGAAUGUAAAGAAUCACUUUAAUUUUGACCGUCUAUAUAUACAUAUUGUCACAUUAUUCUUAAUUAAUUAAUUAAUGUUUACAUAUGAGUUGAAAUCUAUGUAGAUCAGCAGAUAGCUAGAACUUUCCAUUAUUGAAAAGGACUCCCAGAUGUUUUCUGUAAUACAGUGUGGGAGCAAUUUUCAUCCCACGGGAAUAUUUGUCUAGAUUCUGUCUUCCUCUUCGUUGUCUCUUUCUCCCUGUAAAAUAAAUCGGAAUAAGAGGACCACACCCGGGGUGUUGUUCAAAGGCCCUCCAAUGCCUAAGCUAGUUCAAGUGUUUGUAGGAAAACAAUAGUUAACUAAAAGGGUGUGAAAAUAUAUGUACGGUAUGAACCGGGUGGCCGGAGUCGUGUGUGGUAGCUGGAGCCUUGUGUGAGAGGGAGAAAGAGUUAUGGUGGCUAGGGUUUUGGGGAUAAAAUUUCUGCAGUAUUUUGAGACAAAAGUUUAGACGGAGGUUUAGAAUUACCUCAAGCUUUGGUGUAGUCAUGUAUUUAUAGGAGCCUCGGAGGCUAGGGUUUCGAAAGAAUAAUUCCACAAAUGGAAAUGAAUUAUUCUUCCCCAAUUUGGAGAGAUUGACGUAAUUGAGGAUUUGAUUUAAGUGCAAUCCCUGAUUAGGGUAAGAAUAAAAUAAUUGCCAAUUAAAUCAAAUAACCCCCAAUUAUGCCAAAUAAUCCCUAAAUGGAAGGAAAUAUUUGACUUAGGGUUUGGCUAAAAUUCGGUUCCCACAAAUGCCCCACAUCUUCUGCAUGGCGUGUGGCGGCAUGUAGGAGAUGUGGAUUGACUGUUGGAUUGGGCUUCCUUCUUGGAUUUGGGCUCUUGCUCGGAAGAGGUUUUUGACUUGCCAGUUUUUUGAAUACCCAGUUGGAAUGGGCUUGAGAUUUCUUCUUGACCUAGGAUGGUCAACCUGUAUAAAUGCAAGGCUUCUCUUCACUCAUCUUCACAUCGCAAACUUAACUUCUCUACUUUCUAGCUUGAGAGAGAUCUCAGAGAAUUUGCACUGCUUGUCGAAGAGAGGAGCUGUCGUGUAUCCCAAGGUAAGUCAAGCAUGUAUAUUUUUUCUUUGUCUUCUCUUUUUUGUGGUGAGAAUCAAUUGGGUGGGACCAUGCUGGUUGUUGUCGUAAUGGCGGCCGAAGACGGUUGGAGCGGUAGUGGCUGCUGAGCGAGUAUAGGGAGGAAGUUGUUGGUCUACCCCCUGCCUAGGAUGUUGAGAGAUGGAAGCAAAAUGGUCCAGAUUCUGAUGAUCUGCCGGCUGGGUAGGAGGAGUAUUCUGUCGGACCCCCCCAAAAAAGGAAGGUUGAUGUCAAGUCUUCAAGAUAUGAAGCUGCGACUUCGCAGGUGAAAGAUGUAUCACCAUUGAGGAAGAAGCCAAUGAUCCCUUCUGUUGAGAAGACUCAAGUAUGAGCUGUUCCCCCGUCAUCAGCUAGGGUUAAACAUCUCGUUGGUGCAGAUAGCAAGAAGACUGGUAGCAUGCACAAUAUUCGGGAUAUUCCACUCAAGCCUCAUGCAGACAAGCUUGGAGACCAUGAUUUGCUCCCUGAAGUAGUCCGUGCGCGAUCUAGUUCAGUUGCUGGGAGGCAAAGAGAUGCAGAUAUUCUUCUUCGAAGUUCGGGUCGUCUGCACCAGUCAAAGGAUGAAGGUUGAACUAGGAGGUUUGCUCAUCUAUCCAACCAUCAUGAUCUAGCUGUUGAGUCACGAGCAGUCAAUAGUGAAGUUGAUUCAGCGUUGUUGACUCAUUUGGAGGUAAGGAUGGCGACGGCCAAGAAGACGAGAUAGUCAUCUGUCCGGGCGAAAGGCUUUUUUGCAACGUCAACGGCUAAUCCUAAGAUGGACAAGUCUAGCUCUGCAGGGGAUGCAGGUGUGUCUGAUAUGCUCAAGACUAACUUUCUGUCAAGUUCAUCCACUUGUGCUAAGCUGGUUGAUCAAAUUCAUCAAGAUGGAGAUCUUGGUACUUUCUCAAGUCUUUUCUUGGAAAAAUAAGGGGAAACAAUAUUUCAUCUGCUUCAAAAAGGAGUAGUUUUUGCUAUUGAAACUAUCCGGAACUAAUCUGUCACCCCUUCUUCUUAGUCGAAAAGAUGCAUACUUUCGUCUUGAGCGCAAGAAUACUGACAUCUCUCUUAGCUAUGACAAACUCUUUGCUAGAUUUCAUGCUUAUCACAAGUCUAUUGAAGAAUCCAAGUUCGAAGCUACUAUGGAUGCGUACAAGCCAGGUUGUUUGGACUGCAAAAAUGGGCAUGCUCUCUUCUAUGCCACUGGAGAUGGAGACAUCGAGGAGCUUUGCCCUGACUUGCUUCCUGUUCAAAGUGAGCAGGUCAAUGCUGCCAACAUGGAAUGAGCUGAAGAACAAGCGGCCGAAGAGGCGGUAACUGAAGAGGGUGAAGCAGAAAAGGAUGCGGCUGAUGAGUCGGCAGAUGUCGUUGAUCAGGCGGAUGCCAAAGAAGCUGUAGAUCAGGAUCUCCUCCCGGCGUCCUAGAGUAGAUAAAGACUCCUCUAUUUCUUUUCAGUUUUUUGUAGUCUGCUUUUUUGUUUAGAAUAAUUGGUCUUAAUUAACCAUCUUCUUUUUAUUGAACUCGGCCGGUUGGUCACUUUUCUAUGGAAAUUUUAGUUGCUUUUUCAAACUUCAAUUUACAUAGUGUCUUGUGAACUGCUUAAGUGUUUCUGGGUUGUUGCAUGUUUGGCCUGCGUCUGAAGACGUGUCAAUGAAAGUGACCCGUUUGGCUUACAUUUGGAGACAUGUCGAUGAGUGUGGCUUGUUUGGCCUACAUCUGGAGACGUAUUGAUGUGUGUGGCCCGUUUGGCCUACGUCCGAAGACGUGCCAUGAGUGUGGCUCGUUUGACCUAAGUCCGGAGACGUGUCAAUGAGUGUGGCCCGUUUGGCAUAUGUUCGGAGAUGUGCCAAUGAGAGUGGCUCUUUUAGCUUAUGUCCGGAGACGUGUCGAAGAGUGUGACCCAUUUGGCCGACGUACGGAGACCUGUCGAUGAGAGUGGCUCGUUUGGCCUACGUCAGGAGGCGUGCCGAUGAGAGUGGCUCGUUUGGCCUACGUCAAGAGACGUGUCGAUGAGAGUGACCCGUUUGGCAUUCUCCUGGAGACUUGUCGAUGAGAGUGGACUGUUUGGCCAAUGUCCGAAGACGUGUCGAUGAGAGUGGUCGGUUUGGCCGACGUUCGGAGACGUGUGGAUGAGAAUGGCUCCUUUGGCCUACGUCUUGAGACGUGUCGAUUGCUCUCGUGAACACUUCAUUGGAAAGAAAAGCUUGAACUUGGAUCAAUGUUUGUGUGACUACAUUACUUUAUUGAACAAAAGAGAUGAGUUGAAUGGGUAAACAUCAAAAGUAAUUCGUCUUCAAUGGAGGUGAGGGAGGCCUGGCCGCCUGCUUGGUUGGCUGAUCUUCCUGCUUGGUAGACUUCUUCUCGCGAUUUGAUCGUCAUCCCAGAGCGCAUAGCAUUUUGCGGUCGCGAAGACCUCUGCCAGAGUCUGGCUGGGAGUGAUAGUAAGCUAGUGGUAUAAGUCGUGCUCAGCUAGAAGACCUUUCUUGAAAGCAGAGGAUGCGAUUUGGUCAUCGCACCCUACAAUGUUGGCAUUUUCUGCUUUGAAUCUCUUGAUAUAAUCUCGAAGGGAUUCAUCGGACUUACGUAGGUUGAACAUGUGGCUAGGAUUCUUCUUGAUCGUCCGAUAAGAAGUGUAUUCCAAGGUGAAAAUAUAAGCAACAUGGUUCGUAUUGCCAAUAAGCUGACCUACUUUGCCUACUCCUUUCCGAUCCUCUCCCUUCUACAAAACAAUCCUAGAUUCAGGUUACUCUACUGCACUCCAAGUGAAGUUAUCUUGUAUUGUCAAUUUUCCUGAUUCGUAUGUCAUUAGUGCAAUUGUUCAAUAGGGAAAUCAAGUAUUACAACUUUUAAUUAAGGAAAUACUAGGGGGAAGGAAAUUAAUGGGUUGCAAGAUUGCAUGUAAAUGUAAAGAGUUUUUUUGAUCAAGAAUGUAAGUGUAAAUUGUAACCAUCUUUUCCAACAAAAGAAGAAAAAAAAAGUUCUGAGUUGUAACAAUAUACUUAUGCUUUAUCUUAAUUUCAGUGUUAAUACAGGUAAAGAGGUAUGCAUGACAUGACAGGUAACACACCCACCCACACCCAUGCAGUUUGAGGUUUUAUGCAUCCCACACGCGGCGGGCAAUAUAAAUCUUGUGCCUUUCCCUCCAUCAUUACAACCUUCAACAACUUCCCUACCCCUUGCUUUUGCACGUCCCCUCACACUCCAUGCAGUAGACUCAUUUCACUCACUCACUCAAUAUUCCCCAACUUCACCAACCAUAACGUCUCUCUCUCUCUCUCUCUCUCUCUCUCUCUCUCUCAAACAAAGAAACAAAGAAACAAAGAAAGAGAGGCUUAGCACAUUGAGCUUGCCAACUAUUUCACGAGACUAACGUGCACUACUGCUAAAAUUAAUAAAGUCUCUAAUAUUAAUCAAAACACUUUCCCUUCCUAUAGGCUAUAGCUAUAGCUAUAUAGCUAGCUAGACAGCCAGCAACUUGUUAUUUUAAUCCUUCCAUUUCCAUUCGCUCUUGAUGGCUGAUCAGCCACUACAAGGAGAUCAUUGCACGUUGUAAAAAUUAAUAUAUGAUUAGACGUUAAGCAAUUAAAAGUCUAGUUCUAGGAGGUCACUUUGCGCUGCAAGGAAGGCUACAUGGGUUAGAUCAACCACCAGAUCAACCCACCAGAUCAACCACCAGAUAAGCUCUUGAAUCUUUUCCAAUCGUGAACCAUAACCAUCAGAUCAACCACCUUAGAGCUUCUCCAGCGGCACAGCCCAGCCCGAGGCUAGGGGAGGAAAAAAAAAAAAAGGUGUUCCAGCGGACAGCCCAGGCCCGAGGGCAAGGUGGGACCCAGCAACCUGGGCUGGCCCGAGGGCAAGGUUGGCCCGAGCUCCAACCCUCGUUUUGGUGCUACAGUAUCGCUACAGUAUAGCUACAGUGCCGCUACAGUACCGCAGUGCUACAGUGAUGCUACAGUGUCUGGCGCUACAGUACCACUAAAAGUCCACGUGUCGCACUCUGAGCUCUCCGAUCAGAUUUUUUUCUCCAAUCCAACGGCAGCCAAUUUUUGUGCAAUAAAAAAAUGAAAACAAAUUGAAUUUUUUUAAAAAAAAAUACCAAAAAAAUACUCUUUUUUUUCUAUAAAUACCAAAAAAUUUUCCGAUUGAGAUAUGAAUUUUAUAAUAAAUAUUGAUAUGUACGAACCCAAAAAUAUUAUCUGAAAAUAUUACCCAAAUUAAUUAUUUUCAUUAAAAAAUAGGAGGAAAAAACAAAAAAAUGAAUAGUAAUUGCCAUGGCUAAGGGCAACGGGUGGAGACACAAUUUACUAUUUGCAAGGGCAGCCACUAUUCACGUGAAUAGUGCUUGCCCUAGCUCCACCCUUGCCAUGGCUAAGGGCAAAUGGGUGGAGUUGCUCUUAGCACCUAUAUAGUCUGGCAGAGUUAUAAAGCAAGUUUAGCUGGAGUCUAGUCAAGCCUUAACCUAAAUCGUUGCUCAUAUGAUUCAUAUUUUACUAUACAGGGUGGAUUAAGGUGAAAUUUAUUUGCUUGACUAGAUCUUAAAUUUUGGUUAUGUUUUUGUUUAUUUAAUAAAUAUGAACGGAGUGGGAUUUGUCUAAAACUGGAAUCGAUUUUUGAUAUGUUUUUUUGAGGUCCUUUCCAAUUGAGGGGGGAAAUAGUACUAAACUCACACAUAUUACACGAAUGCUAGGAUUCAAACCCAGAACCUUGCAUGAGGGAGUAAAUAUUCCAAGCCACUAUACUAGUGAGUCCUUUGUGCAUGUCUUUUGUCCUAAUCAAAUCGACAAACUGUGCUCAAAUUGUAUAGCGGAAGAUCUUUAGAAAUUAAAGCAUAAUAUUGAUUUUAUACAUUGUGCAUUUUGAAUGAGGUGUGCGUGCGGCUUUCUCAAUAGCACCCAUAUAUAAACAUGUAUACAAAGUUAAGAAAACUAUUUCCUAGUCUUAAGAAAAUCUACGCUUUUGGAUUUGGAGGAGGAAGCAGCCAUUUGGAACCCUGAAUAUAGCUCAAGCUGAGGAAAGGUUUGAUUUGUUCCUCAUUCAGCUGUUUGGUGUAUUUUACUCUCCCAACCAUACUUGAAGCUGGACCCGAACACUUGUAUUCUCCAUAGAACACGGUUCUGAAUACAACAACAAAUACGAAAAAAAUUGAAACUAUUAAUUAACUAUCAAAACCAUUAAAUUAUAUGAAAAUGCUUAAUUAAUUAGUGUGUUUUAAUUUGCUUACCUGUCACGUUUGGGGCGGUUCUUGUUGUUCCAGUCGGCUGGGGUGAUGACCUCAGACAUGCUGGUGUAGGCAAAGACCACCCUGGGACUAGUCCUCCAAGCCCUGCCCAAAUACGUGCCAUUUCCAGUCCCAGUUAUGUUGCAGUGGACAAAUGAGUAUCCAGUAUCUUCUGAAGCUGAGUUCCUUGCUUGUGCUAUUAUCACUGUCAUUUCAUUAUUCCCCAGCACAUGUAACUCAGUAUUUUGCACCCAUUAAUUAACUACCCAUCAAAACAAUGACAUAAUACAUAGACAACAAACAGCUGAGUUAUAAUGAAGAGUUAGUCGUAUACAUAACGUUUCUCACACAACAUGUACGUGAAAUUCACUAUUAUAAGAAGAGACUCGCAUUUAGCAAUAUGAUUUGUAAAACAUGUAAGGAGAGUUAACAAAAGUUCCUUGAUAAGUUUUCCUUUUAUUUAGGAAUUAUAGGGAGAGUUUGGGUGGCAUUACCAAAUAGAGAGACUUUCCACUUCCAAAGAUGAAAUCCACAGUGCCUUCAAUAAAGCAGUCCUGGAAAAAAUGAUUGCCCUUGUCAUCACAAAGUGUGUCUUGGAAACCAAUCAGCCUGCAAUUGAACAAGGCUGACUUGUUCCCCGACACUCUCAAUGCCAAUGCCUGUUCUCCCACUCUUUUCCCAUCUGGCUUUGGCGAAGAGUUCUUCUCACAACCACAAAUCAACAUAAAUUAUAAGGGAAACAAAAAUAUUAAAGAAAGUUAAUUAAGAAUUAUUGUGUGUGAUGAUAAUAUCACGUAACAUGAAAUAUUUCUUGCAAAUGUGAGACAUUUACGUACCUUAAUAAUUAGGUUAGCUGCCACAAAGUAGUCGGAUUCGGCAAUCACUGUGGCACUGUCCACAGUUCCAUACUUUUGGGCUGUGCCAGCAAAGGUCAAAGUUGGUAUAUUUGUUGGAGAGCCAUAAAAUGUAACAAAUGAUUUAUUCCGUGGAAUUGUGAUUUUCUCAUUGUACUCUCCCCCUCCAAUGUACACAAUGACACGUUUGGUGUUGUCGACCGGAAUGCUAUUAACAGCGCCAGUGAUGGUCUUGAAUUCUCCACUUCUAUCUUUCAUAACCUUGACGACGGUUUGACCAACCUCAGCCGUUACAAGGGCAGGGUCAAGCGUGCCCUGCCGUUCUUUGUAUGGAUUGACAUUGUUAUUGAACCACGUGUUGACUUGGGGGUGGUCAGCUAGUACCAGUGAUAAUACCUGUAGGAUAUCUAUAUAUGCCUAGAGAAGGUUAAACAAGCUAAUUCAAAUUUUUUGCAAUAAAUAAUGAUCAACCUUUGAAGCAGGAUUGAUAUUAGUUAUCAAUCCUGAGAUGUGCAAAGCUUAAAAUAAAAGAACACGCAGAGAAUUAUUUUACGUGGUAAAACCCCACCUCUAGGGAAAAUCCACGGGACUCCUCAGUCCAACUCAAAUCCACUAUAGAACGAUGAUUACAAGAAGUACUCACACACUUAUCCUAGACUCAUUCUAGAUAAUGUUUACCGACUUCUUCGUAACUUAACUCUGUCACGGGAUGAUCUUCGACACUCCUUAUGUUGAACGCAAUACUGGCCACGAUUGCUUCAAGCUCGCUAGAGGAAAACCGCCACCACGGUCUUGGUGCACUCAACCGUAUGAGUCACCGACAUGCAUAUGAAUGCAAUAUGAAUGAUUAAAGUGUUUAAUAAAUCACCAAGUAAACAUGGAACACUUGAUGAUUUAUCUCAAAUAUGUGCACAACAGCUUUUGCUUAAGAAUUCUAUGAAACCAACACAAAUAACAAAAGCUUUUUUGUAUGAAAAUCAAGACCCACGUUUUAUUCAAAGCAGGUUAUCUCUAGUGAGAGAGAAACCCAAUAGUCCAACAAUUCUAUUUAAAUGUGAUUCUCAAACUUGGUCCCAUAUGGACUCAAGUCAAUCACGUCAAAACACAAGCCACACUACUGUGGCAUUAUGAAUAAUAACUUUGAUUCAAUAUCAACUUCCUGUAAGGACGCUAAACAUGAGACUACAAAUAGUAUCAAUCAUGAAUAUCAAUUUUGAUCAAGUAUGGACUCUAAAUGACGAUGCCAAACAACCAAUCUUUGUGGGAGAAACAAUAUCUCCUAAAACAAACUAAUUAGACCAAUCAAGUAGAAAUAAUCUCAAGAGAUAAAAUCUAAUCCUAUUAAAAAUAAGAUUAAGAUAAAAAUACUUUGAGUGAAAAUAACUCCAAUUAGGAAUCCUAUAAUGAAUGCAUGAUUAUGUCAUGAUUUACCUGAAAUCAGUUUCUCAUAUCGGUCAAGUCAUGUCUUGGAAGUAUGGGAUUGAACGAGUUGUGCCAAAACGUCCAGUAACAAUUCUUCACACACUAAUUUUUCACCUAUGCUAAAGUCUAGGAAAUGACAAUACAAAUUUCAUACUAACAACCAGUGUUUCAUCAUCUGCCCCCGCUAUAAUGGUGGUGAGGAGAAUUAAUGUCACAGUUAGAGCUGCAUGGACACCCAAGCAUGUGUUUUUUCUGGCCAUUUUUAUUGUUUAUUUUUCUGGUUCUUGGUUUCGAGUUUUUGUAUCGUAUUGGGUGCUGUUGAUUAGAAUGGUGAAUAGAAGGCUUUGAUUUUAUGGUCCACUAUACAAGAGCUGGUUAAGGCACAGUGCAUGUUGAGAGGGAUUAAUCUUAAAUUUGUGGGUUUUGGAGAGCUUCUUGCACAUUUUGGUUUCUAAUAAGGGGCUUAUGUUCAUUUCUGAUUUCAGUUACGCAUUUUGUAUUAGUUGAAUAACAGAAAAGCACUAGCUGUAGCUAGCUCUACAGCUUAAUUUGGGAAGGCACAAGAGGACAUAAUUAUGGUAUUAUUAAGAGAGUUCAGUUUGCCAUCACAUAUAAAUCCCAGUUAUAACCUUGAUUAUUAAGGAUAGUCACACAUUCGCAACGGGGAAACCACCCUUAGAGUUUUGAUGAUAAUCUUAGUCCUUGUGCUUGUUGACACCUUGUCACCUCUUGCCACCCUCACAUAGAGGUCCUGAGCUACAUCUAGUUAUUAUCACCUAAAGUACACCUACUACUCAUAUGUAGAUUAUUCCGUUAACAUGUAAACUGUAACCAUUGUGCUCUGGUGCUUGACAGGAUGAAGCACGACGACAGGACCGAUGUUCGUAACUUUGGAGUAAUAUUGCUGGAAAUGAUCAAAGGCAGACCAGUGAAGUCUGAGACUCAAGUGGAAGUUUUAGAAGAUCAGGUAGAAGCACUCUGCUUUUUGUUAUAUUUUCUUCAACCACUCUGUUGUCACUGAAAUCAACAAAAGACAUCAUGGUUGUAUCAGUUCUAGACGUUUGUCACUGAGAACAUCAUUUGGGGAACCAAUUUAGUUAACAUAUUAGCAGCGUUAGCAGCAAUAUUGAUACGAACCUUGGACAGAAAUAUAUAUAUAUAUAUAUAAUGUUCUCACAAAGCUUAUGAUACGAACCUUUCAUGGAAGACUUAAUACAUGGCUAAUUUCAACCGCAACUGAACACUAGCUUAACCAAUCCCUUCAACCAGUGCGUUUGGAUUGUAAGACAGACUUUCAACAAAUCAAUCCACCAUUGAGGUAAUAAGAAUAACCAGGAACCUCCUAUCAAGAUUCAAAAUCCCCAACAUAGUCUCCUCACACCAAUCACCUCGUUCCCCUGAGUUACUUGCACUAUGGUCUUACCAGGCCUUUGAUUAAACUUAGAAUCAGACUUCAUUACAAGGCCUUCAGGAAAAUAAUUGUUAUUUUUCCCUUUCCUAGAAAUCGGUAUUUGGUGUAUUUGUAGAACAGAAAAUGUUCCUGCCCUGCAUUAUGAAUUAGGGGGGUUUGGGAAAGUUAUACCACACCUCAUCAAUUUACAUACAUUCAUUAACACCAUGCAGCUAUAAGUGGCCCUUACAGCUGAUGAAGCAGCUCGAAGAAGCAUGAAAAAUAAGUUUAUCUAAGAAACGUGUGUCUUAGUUUCUCCAACUGGUCGGUUUCCUUAGAUUUGUGCCUAUUGCUAUUCAAAGCAUAAUAAUGCAAAGGUUGUAUCUCUUGAACUUACACUAAUUCAUUGUUACAUUGUUUUAUCAUGGGUGGAUUGAGUUUUAUAUACUUUUGACGUUUGUCUUGAGCGUACAAAUAUAUAAUUGGUUCGCUAGAGUCUUAAAUUGAAGUGCUUCAAUUUAGGAUUAUCGAUUGUUGAAUCUUGGGAGAUGGACGCCUAUAGAACUGUGAGCACAAGGACAGGGGCGAAAUCUGUCUUUAGGACAUUGCAAUUCCUGCAAGCCUCCAUCGCUAAAGUUGUCAGUAUUUCUACUUGUGUUUGUUAAUUUACACUAAUUUCAUGUAAAUUUGUUAUUGUAUUUGAUUAUUACAAUUAUGUUGAGAAUUAUUAUUAUCUACAAAUUCAUAUUUCCUAUUGUUCUGCCAAUGUUUAAGGAUCGAGCAGAUAGACCUUCUAUUGAGGAUGUUCUGUGGAACUUGCAGUACGCUGAACAAGUUCAGGAUGCAUGGCAGGGAGGAGAAUCCCAGAGCAGUGAGGGCUCGCCGGUUUCACCUUCAAUUCCUUCACGCCUCACCUAUUAGCGGUGAGUUGCAGGUUCCUUAGCCACAUAUAUAUUUCCGUCUGCAGAUAGACAUCAGUUAUGGAUUUGUGCAGAGGGAAUGGCACUAGUAAAAUAAAAGAAGAUUCUGUCAACAGGAGUCUUUUUGUUAUGCUAGCUGCUUCAUCUCCAUCCUGCGUAAUGCCCCAAUCAUGUUGCCUAAAAGCUUUCCAUUUCCUUUGUGAUCCUUGAGAAUCCACGCCAUAGCUAGCUACACAAAGACAAUUGAUGGUUGCAUAUACAUAUUUUGCGAGAUUGCAUAUAUAUAUAUAUAUAUAUGUUGCGAGAUUGCAUAUAUAUGAUAGGCAUGUAAAUGUGAGUGAGUUUUUUUAUAAGGAAUGUAAGUGUAAAUUGUUACCAUCUUUUCCAACAAAAGACAAAAAAAAAAGGUGUGAGUUGUAACAAUAUACUUAUGCUUUGUCUUAAUUUCAGUGUUAAUAAAGGUAAAGAGGUAUGCAUGAGCAUGACAUGACAUGUAACACACCCACCCACACCCAUGCACUUUGAGGUUUUAUGCAUCCCACACGCCACGGGCAAUACAAAUCUUGUGCCUUUCCCUCCAUCAUCACAGCCUUCUACAACUUCCAUACAUACAACUAUUAUUAUUAUUAUUAUUAUUUUACAACUUGGACUUAAAACUAACACCAUUAUUUAUUAAUAUAUAAUAUAAUUAGCUAAUUAAUUAAGCCAGUAGGCCCUACCCUUUGCUUUUGCACGUGCCCCUCACACACUCCUUGCAGUAGACUCAUUUCACUCAAUAUUUCCCCAACUUCACCAACCAUAACGUCUCUCUCUCUCUCUCUCUCUCUCUCUCUGAAACAAAGAAACAAAGAAACAAAGAAACAAAUUAGAAACAAAGAAAGAGAGGCUUAGCACAUUGAGCUUGCCAACUAUUUCACGAGACUAACGUGCACUACUGCUAAAAUUAAUAAAGUCUCUAAUAUUAAUCAAAACCCUUUACCCUUCCUAUAGCUAUAGCUAUAUAGUUAGCUAGCCAGCCAACUUGUUAUAUUAAUCCUUACAUUUCCAUUCGCUCUUGAUGGCUGACCAGCCAGCACAAGGAGAUCAUUGCACCUCCGAAAGCAGAAGAAAGGGCACAUCCGGCCGCGCUGGAAGGCCUGCUUCUAACACCGAGGCGGCGGCAACGACAAACAAUACUAGUACAAGCAGUACAGUAGUAGUAAGUGGCGCAGCUCCAUGUGGAGCCUGCAAGUUUCUGAGGAGGAAGUGCAUUAGUGGGUGCAUAUUUGCACCCCAUUUUGGUUCAGACCAAGGAGCUGCACGCUUUGCAGCGGUGCACAAGGUGUUUGGGGCAAGUAAUGUGUCAAAGCUUUUGUUGCACAUUCCCUUGAACCGCCGCCAAGAUGCCGUCGUCACCAUUUCUUAUGAGGCUCAAGCUAGGCUCGCUGAUCCCGUCUAUGGUUGUGUCUCAACCAUUCUUGCUUUGCAACAACAGGUUUCAUCAUAUAUAUUAACCAUAUUACUAAUUAAUUACUUAAUUAAUCAUCAAAACACACACACACACACACAUUUACAUACCUAUAUAUUCUCUCUCCAAUCUAUUAUUGCCUUCAUGGAAAUUAUUGGUCAAUUAAUGUGAUGAGAUAAGAGAUGAUAUCGUUGCAAGUGCAAACCAGGGUAGAUAAAUUUACUUCUUUUUCUUACAAAACUUUCCAUAGGGGGUUUUGACAAUACUUCAACAUUGAUGGCCACGAAACAUUACCAAUUGCUCCCUCUUCUAGCAGUUUCUAUAGGGUCCUGAGUUCAAAUUUCAUGGACUACGAAUGUUCAAUAAAACAAAAGGCUUCAAAAUAUAAAAAAUAAAAAGGGAAAACUGCAAGCUCUCUCACCUUUUGUUCAUAAGAUGGCGUUAGUGUUCACAUAUAUAAUUGAAGCUCCAUGACCAAUCUUAAAGGACAGUUACAAUAUCUAUUAAUUAAUUAGCUAACUGUUGUGGCAUUAAUGUCCAGGUUGCAUCUUUGCAAGCCGAGCUUGCAAUGGUGCAAACUCAGCUGAUAAACAGUAGAUUUGCAUUUGCAAACGCCCUUCAGAUCAGCACCCAGCAGCGGCAGCAGCAUCAGAAACAACAGCAACAACAGCAACAACAUGAGCAGCAGCAGAACAUGGCUUUGAUGUUGCAGCCUGCCUACUCCAACAGCUCCUCUGCUUCCACUAAUCUCAUCAACAUGUGCAGCUUCACCUCUAAUUUUGACCUUGCAGCCGAGACUGCGCCAUCUUCACAAAGCUUGGACCCUCUUCAGCUUUCAAGGCCAUCCCAAGACGAAGAAGAUGACGAGGAAGAGAGUCAAGUUCCCCUCAUGUUCGCCAAUGAUCGAUACACUUGAAUAAUAAGAUAAUAACUCAAUGCAUUGCGUGUUUCUUUCCUUAAUAUUUCUCUCUUUACAAUUGCUUGUAGCUUCUCUAUCCAUGAUCAUUAUCAUAAAACUAUACUUUUCUUCUCCCCAAUCUAUAAUAUAUGUUUACGUUACCUUCUAUCCUAACUUGUCGUCCUUCUGCUCGGGCAAUAGGUCAAUCAUACAUGCAGAGAGAUUAACGUGGCCAAAUAUAUUGUUCCUAACUUUCUUAUUUUAAUUACUGAGGUGAGUUUUACCUCAAAAACAGUCACUGGAACUCAUUAACCAAAAUAUCAUGUCUUACUUAGGAGUUGGGGUAGCUGCAAUCGUUGGGAUAGCAUUCCUCCAGGUUUGGGCCACUUCACUUUCAGUUCCUGAAUGGGGCUGCUAGGCCCAGAACUUGCCUUGGGCGCCACCAACCUUUUUUCUUUUUUCUUCUUAAGAGAUGGAAGGAUGACAAAGUUAUUCUUGCACGAAAGUUAAUAUAAGGGAUUAUUGAGCAAAUAAAUUGGAUUCAACAAUCAAAACAUCCAUUAUGAAUUUAGUAUCCAAACAAUUUACAUCAACUGCAGCAUUAGACAAAGCUAACCGAAACUCGAAGCAACACGGAAUUGGCCCUAAGCUGAAGAGAGAACUUAGAAACACCAAAACCAGCCGUGGUCUGCACAGAAACUUUAAGCUAUAGUAGAUGAGAUGCAUGAUCACUCUCUUUUCUUUCAUUUAAUUUCAAUAUUUGUUUCAAUGACAAGUAUGCCACAUGAUCUUUUUGUCGGUGUAGGUGUGAGUAAAAAACCGGUUUCUAAACUCUAAACACUGAAUCCUAGCUAGAGCUGGUACAAAGCUUUGAUAGAAGGAAUAUAAUAUUGCACAAAGUUGAACCACCAAAAGACUCGAUACCAUAGAGCUAUUUGUGUUGAGUUGGAUAGCUCCUAAUAACCUUGGCCAAUUGACCUUAACGUAGGAAAAGGAUGAGGACAAAAACAAGAGGAAUCAUUUAUAAAAGCAGAAAAAGAAACUCAUGAACACUGGCCCACCGUUAAUUUUGCAAAAUUUGCAUCUGCAUCCUAUUCCGAAUAGCAAAUUGCAAGUUAAACCGAUUACGGAUUUCAGUUUAAGUAUUAGGUAUAAGUUAACAAACUUAUGGUGCUAUUUUCUUCUCCUCAUUCUCUUUCCCCUUUUCAUUUUUACCAUUUAUUGCACAAUCCUGAAUGUGCCACCAACUGCUCCUUUCCCUCCUACAUAUCCUAUAAAGACAGAAUUCAAGCUACAGGACUACUUAGUCUAGAGGCAAAAAACUACAAUUAAGUCUGCUCUGAGGGCAAAAUUCCGAGACAACAAGAGCUCCCACAAAAGCACUGCAACCCCUUUGACCUUUCCCUAAUUUCACCAUAGCUAAAAGUAAGCUCUUCAUCUUCUUUUAUGUCUUUCGAAGCGAAAAAGCAAAGGCGUGGGAGUAAAGCACCUGAGCUUCUCACCAGUGCUGUGGAUAGAUUACCACCAUCACACGAAUGGUUGAUGAACCUUGAUACAUUUCCAGCUCUUGUCGCAUCAAUAUUGUAUCUUAGACAUGCCUUUCUGGAUGGCAUAUGCUCCCUCACAACCAAAAGAGCAGGGGAAAAAUGACCACCUGAUGCAAGCUCAUCAUAUAUCUGCUGCCGCGAUCUUGCUUCUUUGGUUGUCAAGAGUUCACCUUUCUCACCCAAAAAAAAGAACAAUUAAUAAGUAAAAAAUGUUUAAAAAUAUAAUCCUACUUGCAGGAUGUAUACAUACACGUGUGUGCGUGUGUAGAGAGAGAGAGAGAGAGAGAGACAGAAUGAGAUCAAAUUCCAAUGCACGCAUACAGAAUACAGAUAAACAUACAUGCAAUCAUUUGCAGGGAACAUGUUAUCUUAGCCUCAGAGAACAGGCUUCAGAACGCCAUAAGCAAGUAUCAUUAUCCAUUUUUAUGGGAUUAGAUUUUUCACUUCUAAUUUAGGAUUUUUUGCAUCAAAUAAAAUUUCGGGGGAGAAUCUUGAGCAGCAGCAUCUGAAAUCCAUUUGUGAAUUUUAAACAUUUACAACAGUGUGGUCAGACGUAUUAGCAGUCUACAGUUCCCCGCACCUCAGUUGAUGCAGGGAUAAAGAAAGAAAAAAGGACGGCUCCUUAAUUCUCCCUUAAACUUCUUCUCUUCUUUUCUUUCCAUCAUCCCCAAACACUUCCCUAAUCCGCUCCUUAAUCUGUUAUUGUCAAACUUCAAUUUCCUCCAGUCCUGCCUUCCCACCAUUCUUUCAAGGUUUUGCCAAACGUAUGAUGAUCCAACAAUCAUGAUUUCUACGUGUUUGGUUCACAGACUACACCCUUUCUGUGUUCCAGAUGCCCAAGCAAGUGGGUGCCAGAAUACAUGAUAAUUACUCAACAGAAAAGCUGAGUAUAGUAUUUCCUUUCAGUAAUUGCUGCACCAACAUUUGUUGAUAGGAAUAUUUCAUAUCUGAACAAUACUUUAUCAAUCCAACAGGAUAACAAGGAAAAAGAGUGAUCCUAAUCCAAUUGGAAAGCUUGUUGUCUAGAAAAAUAACAGAACCUUAACCUCUACUAAUAACAACAAAUUCAAAGCCAGAGAGCAGUCAGCCAUCUAUAUCAGCAGACUCAUAAACUUGAAAGCAAUUUUAAGAUUCGCUUCAGAACAAUUACUCACAUGAGCCAUCUAUAUCAACAAUUAGUCUUGGUUUUGAGUUACUUGAUGUGUAUGACUUUGUGCACACCUAUUUAUGAAAGAAAAUAUCAAACGAGUGCCAAAUUCAAAACUUCCGACCAAAUUCAGUCACAUUGUUCAAAAUACUUCUAUUCUAUGUCAGCAAAAUCAAGAAAACAUUUUUCUCAUCUCUAGUCACAACCAAUUUCAGAUUAACACAAAACACAAAACAAUCAAUCAUACACCGUCAGGAUACAUACUAGAAACAAUUACAUUUUACAAGCGCUAAAGUGCUAUAACAAUCAGUACCAAACAGAUAACACAACAUGGCAUAUACAUUAUCCAAAACAAAAUCCAAUUCCUAAAUGUGAGUUGUUAUUGGAAUACCUGCAUACUCACAAACAAACCGACCCUUUGGAAUGAACUGGUCCGCAUACAAACUCCACCCUUUUCGCCCAUCCCUCAGAAUCUUCAACUUAAUCUCAAUCCCUCUCUGAGUCAACCUAUUGCCACAAUCCAACCCACACUCACAACUCGGCCCACACUCCGCAACGACGUCGUUAAAGCCACCAAAACACGGACACCCAUCACCCCCAUCUCCCUCUUCCCCACAUGCCUCGCAUUCACACCCACACGCACACUCUCCCGACUCGUCCACGAAACGCAGCGUUUGAACUCCAAGUCCAGCCACCGAGUUCGAUUUGUGUGCAGAAGAACUGGAGCCCCAAGAUUGGCGCCCUAAAAAUUGAGAAGAGGAAGAAGGAAUUUGAGAUGGGGUGUAGAUGAAGUAGGCAUACGGGUGUUCAUCGACGGAGUUGUGGAAUGGAAUGGGAUGACUCUCGAAGGCUCUGGAGGCGUCGGAGGCUCGGCGGAGAGUGAUGGACUUAGAGAUUGUGUGGAGGGUGGAGCAGGUGAGAGAGAUGGUGGCGAGUUCUUGUGGGGUCAGCCAUGAAAGGACGAGCUCUGAGCAUUGGAGGAGGAGGGAAGGAGAGUGGUUGCGUUUGGAUGGUGGUGACUGGUUUUGCUGCAUCCUUCGAAGAAAAAGAUUUUUCAUAAGAAUAUGACGACUAUGUUGCUAUUGCCAUCGAUAUAGCGGGACGAUAUCAAACGAUACGAUGGGUCUUUUGGGAUAUUUCCAAUUAAAAUGGAUAUGAAUCCUAAUUAUUCUUAUUUGGUGGGCUUUAAUGUGUUUCGCAUUAGAUAUGGGCUUUUGGAUUCAAGUCCCAAAUAACUAUGGUUAUGAAACCCAACCCCAUAGGUGAGUUUACAAUGAAUCCUCUGUACAAUUUAAAGCUUUCAAUGAAACCCAACUCCGAUACGAUUUGUUUUGAGUAGAUGCAGUUUAAAGUUUUCAUGUUGUUUAUACAAUUUCAAUUGCUUUAAAUAUUGUUGGUACAUUUAUAUUUUUAUAAUUUUGUUGUUAAUACUUGAGCAAUUACUGCGAGUGCUCGAAAAUAAAAAACCUUCAAACUAAUUUAUGUGGUAUUAUUAUUAUAGCUCAACGUUUUGGAAAAGAUUUAAGUCUUUAAUUGCUCAAAGACAACCAACCAAUUAAUUACAAAAUCAAUUUAAAGCUAGAUAUUCAGUGUAUCUGCAAAAUUGUUUUUAAAAUAAAUUUCAAUAAUGUUAGUGUUCAAAAGCUAAUCAAGUACACCAUAUUUUUAUAACCCUUGAUUAAAAAAAAAAAAAAAAAUCGCAUUUGGCUGGCUUGUAUCAUAUAGAUCAUAUAUAUGUCAAACUAAUUCAUUGAAAAUGUGUCCCUUUUAAUUCUGAUAUUAUUCCACUAAAAUUUUAUUAAGUAUUAACAUUCUGACAUUAUUCCUCUAUAUAAAUUUUGUUAUAUAUUUGAAUUUGUGGCUUGCAGUUGUGUACGUUUUCUUUACACACUUGUAUAUCUGUAAUUGAGAGUUUACUUCGAAGAAAUUUAUAAUUUUAUUAUUAUAUUUCUUUUGUUUCGAAACACAUUUAAAAGGUAAAUAAAUAAAUAAAGCUUUAAUUAAUUUGUGUUGAAUCUUUACACUGGCUAUUCAUUUGGAAUAACUAAUGUUUUUUUUUCUUCGAAGCAUAGACUGUUAGGAUUUUGCUCAUCAAAUAUGUCCUAAUUGGUUUAGAAUUGUUUUAGGAAAUUAGAGGUAUACCAAUUCUUAUCCUAGAGGUAUUAGGAAAUAAUUUCAGUUUUUCUUAUUCAAUUUAGGUUUAGAUUUCUAGAAGUCUAUUAGGAUUUGGAUAAGUGUAAUUUCCUAAUCCACUUAGAAAUAGGAAUUCAAUCAGCCUUGGGACAUGUAAGUCAACUCUAUAUCUAUAAAUAGGGUGCGGCAAGGCUUAUUUUAGAGGGGAAAAACAACGAGAGAUAGCCGAGAGUUUUGAGAUUAGUUCUAGGGUUGCAAAAGUUCUGUAAUCUCUAUUAUUAAUCAAAGGACUAGAGAAAUCACCACUGGACGUAGGCAAAAGUUCUGCCGAAUCAGUACAAUUCUUGUGUGUUUGUAAGUUUUCUCAAUUUGCUAGUUUAGUCUAUUGCCGUCGGUUACAUCAAACAACAAGAUCUACUGUGCGGGUUAUUUAACAAUUGGUAUCAGAGCCUAGUUCAAGGGGUUCUACGAUGUUUAAAGGGAAGAUGAAUGCGGAUCUAGGACCUGCGUUAAAGCCCUUUGACGGCAAGGAUGACUUCACGGACUGGCAAAGGAUGAUGAAGAAUGUAUUGAUACAGCAAGAUUUGGAUGAUGCACUUAACGGUGGGAAGCUGGCAAGCAUGACAGACGCAUCAUGGACUAAGGUUCUCAAGAAGGCCAAGAGUUCCAUCAAGAUCCAUCUCACAAGAUCAGUUCGGUCACACAUCACCGAAAAGAUGACUGCCCAUGAAGCAUGGGAAAAGUUGGAGAAUGUUUAUAUGGGCAAAACCGUGUCCAAUAAACUUUUUCUAAAGGAUGAACUAUUCAGACUUCAACUGGAAGAAGGAGGUGAUAUUGAAGAUCACAUAUGCAGGUUCUAGAAUUGCAUAACUAAUCUUCAAAAGAUCGAAGAAACUUACAAAGAUGAUGAUAUGGCUAUCAUCUUGCUAAGGUCUCUACCUUCAUCUUUCAAGCACUUUCGAACAACUCUAAUGUUUGGAAAAGAGUCCUUGAAGCUUGAAGACGUAAUUCAAGCUCUUCAAUCAUAUGCUAAACUAGAUGAUAUAACUGAAAGCUCUGAAGGCCUUUAUGCCAAAGGCAAGGAGAGGGGGUGGGAAAAUACAAAGGAAGAGAAAACAGGCAACAGAGGUAGGUCAAAAUCCAAGAAGAAAAAGGAAAAGAAGGAAGGUUGCUUCGAAUGUGGUUCAGCCGAUCAUUGAAAAAGGAACUGCAAGAUUUGGAAAGAGAAGAAAGUCAAGAGGGAAGGAAGCUCAGGUUCAACUAGUGCAGUCACCGAGCAUGAGAGUGAUGGGGAGCUUCUUUCAGUAACAUUAGGCUCCAAGGCUUUCACAAAUUGGAUUUUGGAUACUGGAUGCACUUUUCAUAUGUCUGCAGUAAGAGAAUGGUUCGAUACUUACAAAGAAGUUAGUAGCGGGGAAGUUUUAAUGGGGGACAAUUCUUCAUGUCCUGCAAAAGGAAUUGGCACUGUUCGAAUCAGAAUCUUUGAUGGGAUGAUACGAGUUUUGGGGAACGUUAGAUAUGUCCCUAGACUAAGAAAGAAUUUGAUUUCCUUAGGUACUUUAGAUGAGGCCGGCUAUGGCUACGAGUCUAAAAAAGGAAGACUCAGGGUAGCCAAAGGAUCACUGGUGGUAAUGCGGGGUGACCUACAACCAAAUAAGUUGUAUAAGUUAAUUGGGACCACUAUAGUUGGGGGAGCAGCUGUUUCUGUAAAUCAAGGUAUAGAAGACAAGACUGAACUCUAGCAUCAUAUGCUCGGGCAUAUAAGCCAGAAAAGGGUUGCAAGAAUUACACAAGCACGGCCUGUUGGAAGGUGUGUCAUCUUGCAAAUUGGACUUUUGUGAAUAUUGUGUUCUUGAAAAGCAAAGGAAGGUAUCAUUCACGAGUAGUAGUGCAGAUAACCGAAGCAAGGAGCAACUCAGCUAUAUUCACUCAGAUGUUUGGGGCCCUACACCAACCAAAUCAAAUGGUGGAGCCAGGUAUUUUGUUACUUUCAUGGAUGAUUUUUCUAGGAAGGUUUGGGUCUAUUUCAUGAAGCAGAAAUCUGAGGUUUUUGCAAAGUUCAAGGAAUGGAAAACAGAAACCGAGAAUCAAAUUGGAAGAAAGAUCAUGUACCUAAGAAGUGACAAUGGAGGUGAAUAUACAAGUAAUGAGUUUACCGAUUACUGCAAGCAAGAAGGCAUUAUAAGGCACUUCACAAUAAAGAAGAAUCCCCAACAAAAUGGAGCUGCUGAGAGGAUGAACCGAACUCUCAUGGAGAGAGAGAGAGAGAGAGAGAGAGAGAGGAGCAUGAGAUUUCAUGCAGGAUUGCCUGAUAGUUUUUGGGCAGAAGCUGUUAAUCAUGUAAGUUAUUUAAUAGAUCACCAUCUAUAUUUCUCGGUUUUAAGAGUGCAGAAGAGGUAUGGUCUGAGAAGCCGGUGGACUAUUCCAAGCUUAGGGUAUUCGACUGUAGUGCUUACGCACAUAUUCCAAGCAAUGAAAGGUCCAAGCUCAAACCAAAGUCUACACAUUGCAUAUUCUUAGGUUUCGAGAAAGGAGUGAAGGGUUUCAAGCUGUGGGAUAUCAAUAACAGGAAAAAGGUUAUCAGCCGAGAUGUUGUCUUUGAUGAGACAACCAUGCCUCCGAAUAAAGUCGAGAGCAGUAGGGAGAAGAAAGACGAUGUUGAAAUUGAAGCAACAAAGAUUCCGUUAAUCAGUUCGACAAAGAAGAAGCUCAGGUGGAGCAAAUUGAGCAAGAUACCGAAUCUGAUGGUUUUGAGGAAGAAGAGCAUCAGCAUCGUUCACCAGUUAGGAAUCAGGUGGAGCAAGAAAUAGGGCAGAUUGAAGGCACUCUAAUUCGCCAGACAUCUCAAAGGGUUCGAACUCCAACAAACAAUCCACCUGCAUUCCAGAGAUGCAUAGCACUGGACAAACCUAAUCAGAAUAAGAAGAAACCUGACAGGUUUGGGUUUAACCAAGACGAAGUUAAUUAUGCUCUCAACAUUAGUUAAGGAGAUCCAACUACUUAUCGAGAAGCUAUAGCAAGUGAUGAGCGAGAUAGUUGGAUAAGUGCUAUGAAAAAAGAAAUGGGGUCUCUUUACAAGAACUAGACUCCAUUUGGGAGUUGGUUCUUAAUCCCAAAGACAGAAAGCUAGUUGGAUGCAAAUGGGUAUUUAGGAAAAAGGAAGGACUACAUGAACAAGAUAUCGUGAGAUUCAAAGCAAGGCUCGUGGCUAAAGGGUACUCACAAAAGGAAGGGGUGGAUUAUGAUGAUAUCUUUUCACCCAUAGUCAAGCAUACUUCUAUUAGAUUGCUUUUAGCAAUGGAAACUUAGCAUGACCUGAAGAUUGACCAGAUGGAUGUGAAGACAACAUUUCUUCAGGGGGAUCUAGAUGAGACAAUUUCCAUGGCUCAACCAGAAGGGUUUGUUGAAUAUGGGAAAGAAAACCUAGUAUGUCAGCGAAUGAAGUCCCUGUAUGGCUUGAAAGAGUCUCCAAGACAACAAGCGGUUUGAUUACUUCAUGCUGAAAAUCAAUUUUAGAAGAUGUUUAUAUGACUGUUGCUUGUCCUAUCAUGUGUUCCAAGAUGGGAUGAUCAUAUUGCUAUUGCUAUAUGUGGAUGACAUGCUAAUCGCUUGUUAAGACAAGUCUAGAAUUCAAUACUUGAAGAAGAUGUUGAGCGAGGAGUUCGACAUGAAGGAUCUAGGUGCAGCACAGAAGAUCCUUAGCAUGGAAAUUCAGAGAGAUAGGACUACUAGAAGGAUAUGGAUAUCACAAGCCAAGUAUAUUCAGAAGGUUCUUGAGAAGUUCAACAUGCAAGAAGCAAAGGUAGUUUCGACUCCUUUGGCAGCUCACUUCAAGUUAAGUGGGCAACAGUGUCCUAAGUCUGAGGAAGAGCAGCAAGUAAUGGAGAAGGUGCCUUGUGCUAAUGCUGUGGACUACCUUGUGUAUGCAAUGGUAUGCACACGUCCUGACAUAGCUCAAGCAAUCAGUGUCGUUUCUAGAUACAUGGCAAAUCCAGGAAAGCAACAUUGGGAUGCAGUCAAGUGGAUUUUGCGUUAUUUUAAAGGGUUCUUGGCAACAAAGGAUUAUGUUUGAGAAGCAUAAAGAAAAUGAAGGGGUGUUGGGAUAUAUGGAUGCCGAUUAUACUGGGGACUUGGACAAGAGAAGGUCAACUUUUGGUUAUGUGUUUACAUGCGCAAGAGGACCGAUCAGUUGGAGGGCACUACUGCAACCAAUUACAACUUUGUCGACCACAGAGGCAGAGUAUAUUGCAUUGGCCGAAGCUGGAAAGGAAGCAAUUUGGCUUAGUGGCUUGGUAAGUCAAAUGGGAAUCACCCAAGAUUGUGUGAAGCUGUGAUAGUCAAAGUGGCAUUCACUUGGCAAAGAAUCAAGUUUUUUCUAGAAGAUCAAAGCACAUUGAAGCAAGAUAUCACAGAAUCAGAAAUUGGGUGGAGUCUAAGGUCAUUUGGAUUGAAAAGAUUCAUACGGAUGACAAUGCCGCAGAUUUCCUUACAAAGAUAGUGUCGGCCAAAAAGUUCAAGCAUUGCUUGAACUUGAUCAAUCUCGUUGAUUGAUUAAAGUGGAGCACCUCCUCACUUGAGGUGCAAUGAGGCAAGAAGAACAUUUCCAAGGUGAAGAUGCUUGAAGAUUUCCAGAGCUGCUUCAAGGAGGUUCAUAGAUACUCUGGGUUGCAACGAUCAAGACUUGGUUUGACUCACCAAGGUGGAGAUUGUUUGGAUUUUGGCUCGUCAAAUAUGUCCUAGUUGGUUUAGGAUUGUUUUAGGAAAAUUAGAGGUAUACCAAUUCUUGUCCUAGACGGAUUAGGAAAGAAUUUCAGUUUUCCUUAUUCAAUUUAGGUUUGGAUUUCUAGAAGUCUAUUAGGAUUUGGAUAAGUGUAAUUUCCUAAUCCACUUAGAAAUAGGAAUUCAAUCAGCCUUGGGACAUGUAAGCCAACUAUAUAUCUAUAAAUAGGGUGCGGCAAGGCUUAUUUUAGAGGGAAAAAACAGCCAGAGACAGCCGAGAGUUUUGAGAUUAGUUCUAAGGUUGCAAAAGUUCUGUAAUCUCUAUUAUUAAUCAAAGGAGUGGUGAUUUCUCUACCUAGAGAAAUCACAACUGGACGUAGGCAAAAGUUUGCCGAACCAGUAUAAUUCUUGUGUGUUUCUAAGUUUUCUCAAUUUGCUAGUUUAGUCUAUUGCCGUUGGUUACAUCAAAGAACAAGAUCUAGUGUCCGGGUUAUUUAACAUAGACUAUAGCUUAUUUUAUCAAUAUGUUAAUUGCUGACUUUAUUUCAAUAGCGUUAAUAUAUUAAUGUUCUAAUCAUAUUAUUGCUGAUUUUGGAUAUCAAUUAUCUUUGGUUUUGGAAAAUGGAUCAAAUUACGUUAUGUGUGAUGUCUUUUGAGUAUUUUACAUAAAUAUACAUAUAUAUUGCACUAAUGUUGUGUUCAAGGUUUAUCUUAUUUAUAGGAAUAGAGAUUUGCGUGAUUUUUAAGUGGGAGUUAUGGUGGAAUCAAUAUUUCAGGGGUCCAAUAUCAUAUACCACGAGAUAAGUGCUACCAAUUAAUACUUAUCUUAUGCAAGUGUGAGCAUUGCUAUAAAUGUAUGUGAUUCCAAGAAAUUAACUUAGUUUGAAUUUUGUGAAAUAAGACAAUACAGAAACUUGUCAUUUUCCACUUGUUUAAUUUUGUCAAAUUUUAAAUAAAUAAAUAAAUAACUUGAAAUGGAAAUGGAAAAUAGAAAUCUAUUUCAUGAUCUUAUCUAUAUGGUCCUUUAGUUCUUUACAAAUCAGAGUUUGUAUUGUGUUUGUUUAUUGUUUUACUUAAGCUAGAAAUAUCAAUUCAUGAGAAUGCUUUCUCUUGAUUGCAUACACUUAUACCUUUUCUUUUCUCUAUGGAAUUUCUUUAUAUUGGUGUGAAUGCCCAAUUUUGUCAAACUUUAAUUUGCUUUUCUAUGAUUACUUGUUUUGAAACCAACUUCAAUUUAUUGAGAAUUAGAACCUUUACAUUUUGCUAAAAUAUGAAUACGGUUUGAAUGUAUUAGUUUAACUUUAUUCUUCUCCAUAAGGAGGUAUGUAUAAGAGUUUACAUGUGGGCUUUACAAGGAAUUAGAUACAGGAAAGAAUUAGGAAAGUAUCUCUUAAUUGUACAAUGAUUUAUCAAUUAUAAAAAUUAGGAAAGUAAAUCCCUUAAUUAAUCAAAAAAAUAAAUCUCCUUGAUUAAUUAGGAGACUCACGUCAACACUCCUCAUCAAGUUGGUGCAUAUACGUCACCAAUGCCUAACUUGGUAAGUGAGUCAUGAAAUACUCUUCCACAAACAGCUUUGGUUAAGAUAUCUGCCAAUUAAUCUUCUGAUCUUAUGAAUGGUAGGCGGAUGAUCUUCUUCUCAAUUUUUACUUUGAUAAUAUGUCUAUCCACCUCAACAUGUUUAGUUCGAUCAUGUUGAACUGGAUUAUGGGCAAUAUCAAUGGCUGACUUGUUAUCACAAUGUAACUCCAUUGGCUUUCCUGGCUUGUAACCCAAUUCUGUCAAUAGUCUUCUGAUCCACAGUAAUUCACAAACUCCUUGAGCCAUUCCUCGAUACUCUGCCAAGUGAGUAGGUUACCUCCCACAAAAGUGAAGUAACCUGAAGUAGGGCGUCUGUUUGUAACAGAGCCAGCCCAAUCAGCAUCUGUAUAUCCAACAACUUUGAGAUCUCUAUUUUUUGAGAACAUUAAUCCUUUUCCAGGUGCUGACUUUAAGUAUCUUAAGAUCCGAUCAACUGCAUUCCUAUAGGACACAUUGGGUGAAUGCACAAACUCACUAACCACACUCACAGCAUAUGCAAUGUUUGGUCUUGUGUGAGCUAGAUAUAUUAACCUUCCAACAAGGUGUUGGUACUGUUCCUUAUUGUUGGUUCUUGAUCCAUGUCUUCACAUAACUUGUGAUUCAUCUCGAUGGGUGUAUCAGCAGGUUUGAAUCCAAGCAUUCCUAUUUCAGUGAGCAGAUCUAAUACAUACUUCCUUUGAGAUAGAAAUAUCCCAAUUGUGGACCUGACUACUUCAGUUCCUAGAAAGUACUUCAGAUCACCUAGAUCCUUCAUCUCAAAUUCCUGAGACAAAUACUUAUGCAGUUUUAAUUGCUCUUCUGUGCCUUUCUAGUUACAUUAUGUCAUCCACAUAAACAAUCAAUGUAGUAAGUCUUCUUCCGUCACGCUUCAAGAACAAAGUGUGAUUUGCAUUACUCUGUAUAUAUCCAAAAUUCUUCAUGGAUUUAGUGAAUCUGCCAAACCAUGCCCUAGGGGAUUGCUUUAACCCAUACAAUGACUUUCUGAGCUUGCAAACUUGAUUCUCUUUGUCACGAGCUAAGCUACAUCCUGGUGGCAAGUCCAUAUAUACUUCUUCUUCCAAGUCUCCAUGUAAGAAUGCAUUUUUUACAUCAAACUGAUGUUAUGGCCAAUCAAGAUUUACUGCUGGAGACAGAAGAGCUCUGAUAGUUUUAAUUUUGGCUACUGGGGCAAAAGUUUCUUGGUAGUCUAUCCCAUAUCUUUGUGUGUACUCCUUCGCCACCAAUCUAGCUUUAUAUCUUUCAAUAGAUCCAUCUGCUUUGAGUUUCACAGUAUAAAUCCACCUGCAUCCCACUAUUUUCUUUCCAUGAGGUAAUGGCAUGAGUUCCCAUGUGCCAUUCUUCUGGAGAGCUCGUAUUUCUUCAUUCAUGGCUCAUUUUCAUUUUGAAUCUUCUAGUGCUUCAGUUACACUGUUGGGAACAGGUAUGUCGGCCAACUACUUCACAAGUUGUACCCGUGAAUCUGAUAAUCUGUUGAUGGAUACAUAAUUGUUGAUGAGAUAUUUCCCCUUUGCAUUAAGGUCUGCUUCGUAGUGAACUAGAGGUUUUCCACAGUUCUUCCGUUUUGGAAUCUGAUAUGUUGGCUCUAUGCCUUCUGAAAUUAAAUCAUUAUGGGCUAUUUCAUUAAUGUUAUUAGUUUUAGGAAAAGAUGUUACCUGAAUAACGUCCUCAGCAGGUGAUUGGUGUGGUACUGGAGCUGAAGAAUUCUCCUGAGCGGGCAAAAACUCCUCAAUUUUCUCCUCUUGAGUUUGACAGCCGGGAGACGACCGGUUGCAGUCCUCUAGCCACCGGUCGUUUUGAAGAAGCAUAUUCGGAUUUCUAGUUGGCGACCGGUCGCUUUCAACUUGAGACCGAUCUUUUUCAGGUAGAGUCUCUGGAGAUCGGUCGUUCACAUCCUCAGACCGGUCGUUUUUACGCAGAGUCUCGGGGGACCGGUCGUUCGAAUCCUGCGACCGGUCGUUUUCAGUCUGGGAAAAAUUUGAAGGGAACAAGUCUAAAAUGUGAGAAGUCUUUUCAUCGCGAUCCUCCUCGUGUACAACUGAAAAAUACACGUCAUGUUCCCGGAACACAACAUCCAUAGAAGUAUAGACCUUCUGACUAGGAGGAUGAUAACACUGGUACCCUUUCUGAUGAGUUGCAUAACCAAUGAAAACACAUUUUUCAGCGCGGGGAUCCAAUUUGCUGCAUUAGUGAUCAUGUAAGUGGACAAAGACCACACAACCAAAAAUUCGGGGUUCAUGGUUUUGGGUAGGAGGUAUUUGGAUAUAGUGGUGGAGUGUUUCUAAGGGGAUUUUGAAAUUUAGGAUACUGGAGGGAAUCCGAUUGAUAAGGUAUGCUGUAGAGAGGACGGCUUCUCCUUAAAAGGACUUGGGCAUAUUGCCCCCAAAAAGAGAGGCGCGAACUACUUCCAAUAAGUGUCUAUUCUUUCGUUCAGCCACACCAUUCUGUUGAGGAGUGUAAGGACAUGAGCGUUGAUGGAUAAUGUCAUGACCUUGGAAGAAUUGAUUAAGAUCAUGGUUGAGAAAUUCUCUGCCAUUGUCGAACGAAGAACCUGAAUUCGAGUAUGAAAUUGUGUUUCCACCAUUUGAUAGAACUGUUGAAACUUGGAACUAACUUCCCUUUUUGUUUUGAGAAGGAAGACCCAGGUCAUACGUGUGCAAUCAAAAAAUGUGACAAAUCAUCUGGCUCUCCCUGGUAUGGUAACUUUAGCAAGGCCCCAAACAUCAGAGUGAACAAGAGAAAAAAGAACCAAACUUUUAUUUGAACUUAAGGGAAAAUGAACACGAUGGCUCUUGGUCAGUUCACAAAUGUCACACUUAAAACUGAAAACAUCUAAAUCGAAAAAUAAGGAAGGAAAUAGCUUCUGUAAAUAUCCAAAUGAAGCAUGUCCAAGACGGCGAUGCCAUAACCAUACUUCUGAACUUUUCUUUUCACACUCGUACUUCCAAUUGUAUAAGCUUGAAUUAGGUUGGCUUCACUGUCAGAUGCCAAGUCCAGAUAGUAGAGUUUGCCCCUCCUAGUACCACAACCAAUCGUCUUGCUGCUGAGAAUGUCCUAAAAACACAAUAAGUAGGCUAAAAGGUUACAGUGCAAUUUAAAGCCGUAGUAAUUUGGGUAACAGACAAGAGAUUAUGGUGUAAGGAUGGAACAAUCAACACAGAAUCCAAAGUGAGGGAGUCAGAGAGAGAGAGAGAGGGGGAACCCUCCCCAAUUACUGGAGAGGGGGUACCAUUGGCAUUAGACAUCACCGAUUGAGAAGCCGGUGUUUGAGAGGUAAUUUGUCUAGGAUCAAAGGUCAUGUGAUCAGUGGCUUCGGUGUCAAUGACCCAUGUAUGUUUCUUUAAAAAACUAUGUAAAACAUAACCUUGAGUACCUGUUGUGGCUACAGAGGCAGAGGCGGUAGCUGGUGCAAUCAGAACAGCAGGACUUACAGGAUCUGAGGUGGAAGAUGUGUUAAUGGAUUUGCUCCUAUUCUUGCAGGGAGCUUUGGAGUGGUCCCACUAAUCUGGGUACCCGAUCAAUUCAUAACAGCUAACAAAGGUAUAUUUGCUUCCACCACAGUGAGUGCAUUUGUGCUCCGGACGAGAGCUUGUGACUUGAGUCUGAGAAGCACUACUGGAAGAGGACGGAGGGCCCCGUGGAUGUUGAAUGGCCAGGACCGCAGUGUCUGGAGUACUGGUCAUGGUCACUCGUUGUUGAGCUUCACGACGGACAUAAGCAAAGGUUUGGUCAAGGUUUAAUUUGGGAUCUUUGUGCAGAAUUUCCCCCCGGACUUGAUCAAAUUGAGGGUCGAGGCCGGCAAGAAAAAGAUGAACACGAAGACGAUCCAGUUCGGUCUGACGUUUAGUCAUGUCGGCGUCGCAGUGCAUGCGAUUCGGAGUGCGGUGAUCAAUCCCCUGGAAGAUGGUCUGAAGCUGGCUGUAGUAUUUGUGGACAGGUGCACCAUUCUGGUUAAUGGAGAACGCCCGUUUGUUGAGAUCAAAGAGGUAAGUUUCAUCCCCACCAUCAAAGUAGGUUUUUUUCAAGGCAUCCCAGAUUUAUUUGGUGGUACUUAAAUGAAUGAAACAACUCAUCAAGUCGGGUGACAUGGAGUCGAUGAGCCACCCCUUGACCCGAAAGUUCUCCGUACACCAUUUGGCGUAGGUGGAGGAGAGCUUAGAAGGUUGCACGGUGUCGCCGGUGAGGUACCCCAAUUUUUCAUGGGCAGCAAUACGCAUCUCCAUGACUUGAGAUCAUAAGGCAUAAUUGGUUUCAGUCAGGGUGACGCUAUUCGGGAAAGGAGCGUUGUCACUAUGGAUAGUAACAAUUUGGGAGGAUGGUGGAAUGGUGUCGGUGGUGUUGGAAGAGGGGAUGACAUCCAUGGCAGCGGAAGAAUUUUAAGGGUAAAAAAAUAUGUGUUUUGGAAUUUGAAGAUAUGAGGGAUGUGGAUGGAGAUCUGAAUUUGGUAAAGAGAAAUAUGAGUUUGGAGAAAUAUGGGGAAUUUGAGGAAUAUGAUUUUAGGGUUUGUGUUUGAAGAAGUUUGAUAUGAGGAUUUAGGGUUUGUGUUUGAAGAAAUUUGAUAUGAGGAUUUAGAGACAACCGAGGAUCAAUUACUCUGAUACCAUGCUAAAAUAUGAAUAUGGUUUGAAUGUAUUAGGUUAACUUUAUUCUUCUCUAUGAGGAGGUAUGUAUAAGAGUUUACAUGUGGGCUUUACAAGGAAUUAGAUACAGUAAAGAAUUAGGAAAGUAUCUCCUAAUUGUACAAUGAUUUAUCAAUUAUAAAAAAUAAGAAAGUAAAUCCCUUAACUAAUCAAGGAAAUAAAUCUCCUAGAUUAAUUAGGAGACUCACGUCAACACAUUUAUGGAGAAAUCAAAUUUGACUAUUCCCUUCUAUUUUGUGCAUAUGGGUAUAGUUUUCAAAACACAAAUAUAAAUUCCGUUUUUCUUUAUUGAAAUUAAUUGUCCAGAUUUUGCCUAAUGGUCACACUCAUGUUUUCAAUUCCUAUAUUUAUUUUGGCAAUAAAGUUGUUAAUAAUGUUAGGUGAUUAUUGCCAUUAACAUGAUUAUGAAACUUAAUUGCAUUUUGUUUUAAUACUAUUAAGCUUAGCUGGAGCUUAAUUCAGUUAUAUAGUCUUACUGCAGAAGUCAAUCUUUGCAUCCGUUUUGGCCUCGAAACCUUCUUUGCUUCAAUUUUUGGAAAACUGCAAAUUAAUUUAAAUAGAUUUAAUAUGAUUUUGCCUUAAAUUGGUAUUCAUUUUUUACAUUAAAUAUUGUUGUUAACUGGCAUUUGAUUGCUUUUGACGUUCAGUUUUAUGCAUUAUUUUUAUGUGAUUUAAUGCUUUGUUCCUUCAUAAUACAUACUAAUGCUAAUAAUUUGUUUGUCCAAUUUAAUGUAUGUUGGUAGUUUAGGAACGUUGACAAAUACAAGAGGUUGUGUAUAUCUUUUAAACAAAUUUUUUUAUUCUCAGAAUGUGAAGUCAAAUAUAACUAUUUGCACUUGGACUUGUAAGUUAACUAAUGUUUUUUGAUUGUAAAGUCUUGACAGUAGUCACAUUGAGUUAUUUGUCAUGAAAUACACGUGAAGAAGACUUAAACAAAAUAAUGAAUUUUAUAUAAUUGUAAGUAGUAUUUAAUUUUGAAUUUUGGUGACCCGUAAAUCCUUUAAAGUAUUAUUGGCAUAUCUUAUGAAUUUAAAAUUAAAUAAAUAAAUAAUAAUAAUUUGGUACAAUCUUCAUAUAUUUUGAAAUUUUUCUUUAUUUGUGGGGUUUGAGUUUUUCCUUAUGUGAGUAAUUGUUGGAACUUUUUUUGGGUAUUUCAAAAUACAAAAUUAAUUUUAAUACUUAUUUUAUGUUGAAUUUAAUUUUUCAGAUUUUGAGUGGUUUGAUUACCUCUUUAAAACUGAAGUUAUGUUGUACAUUUAUUAUAAAAGUUUGUGACAUAAUAAUUUUCAUAUUUCAUUAAUUCAUUUAGUGAAUUAAGCGCUAUAUUGUUGUUCAUAAUUUCGCCGAUAUUUUCGUUCAAUUGGCAGUUGCAACUGGUCAAUAUAUCUCGAUAUUAUCAAUAAUAUCGCGAUAUGAACUUUCAAAAAUUAAACAAUUUGCCUUAAAACUCACUCACGCUCGCACACUGUAGGGUUCGAACCCCUCUCCACUCUGAUAUCUGCAGCCACUUACCACCACGCUGGUCAUAACUUCGUGAUUAUAAACUAUGGAAUUUAGUAUAUAUAAUACUUGCGAGCUGUUUUUCAAAAUAGAAACAACUUACAUCACUUACCCCACCAUUCAACCACUCACCUAACUAAUUAGUUGCAGUCAUAUUUCUAUACAUAUAAUUAGGUAAUCCUAUUUCUAUAUAUACAAAUAAAAUCAAAUGGUCUCAUGAAGUCCCUUAUUUCUCAACAUCUCUCUAAAACAAAACAUAAUACUCAUGUUUUUCUCAACAUCUAUCAACCUCAAUUUUCCACAAGUUAAAAAAACAAAAACUGAACUAUAGCAAGUUAUUCUCAUUCAUUAUUGUAAUUUACUUUGCAUGUUUAUUAUUAUCUAUUCCAAAUUUUUGGUGAUAUUAUAUUUUAAAUUGUGUCAAUUAAUUACUUAGUCAAUGGCAUGGUGUUUUUAAUUUUUCUAUUCUUUAUUUGGUCACUUACAUGUGUAUUUAUUGUCUCUAAAUUCAUUAUUAAAGACUUUAUAUGCUUCCAUCACAUUUUGUUACAUUUGUUUCAUUAUUGUUUCUUGUUGGUCCAUGCAAAUUCUAUUUGGCCUUUACACAAAGGGUUCCAUAUUUAAGGUAAGUUUACAAACUUAUAUAUAUAUAUAUAUAUUAUUAUAAUUUAUACAACAACAAAAAAUUUGUGUGAACUGGUGCAUGUGAUAUGAGAACCAAAUAAUACUUGCAUGUUAAUUCUUUGAAGUAAUUAAGUAAUGUUGUAUAAUUAUUCUCUCUGAUAAUUUUAAUAUGUUUAAUGUUAUUUAUUAUUUUAUUACUGAAUUGGAUUAUUAUUCAUUAUUAGGCUUUAUUAUUCCAUAUUAUUUUCGUAAUUACUUAAAUUCCUACAAUCAUUUUCUGUGCUUCCUAUUUAAUUCUUCCAUAGAAUAACUUUAUUAUUUAGGUUCUCUUAUAUAACCGUCACUAUUAUAUUUUUUGGCCAAAAAUAAUUACCUCUAUGACAAAUAAAUAUAGGUACAUUUAAGAUGUCUAGUGGAGUUACUAAACGUGAUCCAGCUUGGGAACAUGGAGACCAAUAGACGGAAACAAACAUGGCUCAAUUUGCAAAUAUUGUGGUCGAGUAAUGAAGAGUGGUGGAGUGACACGACUUAAGUAUCAUCUUAGUGGAUUAGAUCCAGGAAAUAACGUCCAACAAUGCGAUAGUGUUCCCUCAGAAGUGAAGGCAUUCAUCACCACAUUGUUAAAAAAUAAACAACACUAGAAGGAAAAGAAAACACAUGGAAUGGAAAAUAUUCGAGCUGGACUACGAGGAAAAGUCAUUGGCCAAGGGGUUGACAGUGAUGAUGAUGACGAUGAGGAUGAAUGUGAUGAUGACAUGGGACCUGAAGAGUGACGCAAUUUCAAACAAGCAUUACGUGCCUCCAAACAGUCAACAUGGGAAAGAGAACACCUCCACAAACUUCCUAAUAAAGCACAAGUUUCCUGGACAAAUGGUGGUGCACAGAUGAGACGGGGAGCAAGUGUUAAAGAAUCACAACCAACAUCGCCAAUGGCCCCAAGUUUAUAUAAAUCAUCCAAAGCACGCCAAAAGAGUGUUUGGAGUUAUUUCGCUGGAGGUAAUGUGAAGGAGGGAAUGGGGCGUCUAAUUAGCAAGUUCUUUACCUAUGACAAUGUCCCUGCUGAGAAGGCAUCAUCACAUCAUUUCAAAAAUAUGGUAUUGGGAUGUCAACAGGCCAGUGUUGGAGUACAACCUCAUACUCCCUAUGAGGUAAGAAACAAAUAUUUGGAAAUGGAGUAUAAAGACAUUAGCGAGUAUGUCAACAAGUUGAGGUCAAAGUGGGAAACUAAUGGUUGCACAAUCAUGUGUGACAGAUGGACUGGACCGACUAGAUUGUCUAUCAUAAACUUCAUGGUAUACUCCAAGGGAAAGAAAUUUUUUUUUGAAGUCUGUUGAUGCUUCAGACCAUAUAAAGAACUACAAGUAUAUUUACAAACUAUUGAGGGAUGUGAUCAUGGAGGUGGGAGAGCAUAAUGUUGUCCAAGUCGUGACCGACAAUGAUUCUGCAUUUGUCAAAGCCGGAAAAAAGUUAAUGAAGCAUCAUAAUGUAUUUUGGACAUCAUGUGCAGCACAUUGUAUUGAUCUCAUGUUUGGGGCAAUGGGGAAGAGAGAGAAUAUUGCUAAUGUCAUAAAAAGAGCUAAAACGAUCACAAAUUAUAUUUACAAUCACAGUUGGUUGUUGGCAAAGAUGCAUGAAUUUUGCAAAGGAGAAAUUAUUCAUCCAGCUACCACUCGAUUCGCCACCAACUAUAUUGCAUUAGACAGCCUACUUAAGAAGAAAUCAGGGUUGAAGCAACUAUUCACUAGCGAUGAUUGGGCCAACCACAAUUUCAGCCGCUCAAAUGCAAGUCGUAUGUUGGAAAGUAUAGUGCUUGAUCAUUCUUUUUGGACUUAAUCAGAACAUGUGUGCCAAGUGUUUGAACCUCUUUACAAAGUUUUACGGAUCGUUGACACAGAGGUGUAUCCUACUAUAGGGGCAAUGUAUGAGUUAAUGUGUGUAGUUAAAGAGGAAUUGGAAACAAAACAUGGUGCAAGGUGGGUCAUAAAGAUAAUUGAUAACCGAUGGUAUAAAACAUUAUACCACGAUUUGCAUGCAGCAGGUAUAAAUUAUGUCAUAAUUUGCAAUUCAUUUCUUUAGUUGCAUAAGUAUUAUUUCUCUUAUUAGAGUAUAUGUUUCUUUGACCAGCAUAUUAUUUGAAUCCUCGAUACCAAUACAGACCCGGUGUUGGAGACAAUGGUACCCUUAUACGUGCUGUACACAAAGUAUAUUCUAAAUUAUACCCUGCAUCACCAGUAGUUGGCCAAUUUGGAAAUGAGGUACACAAUUACUUAAAUUAUAAUAAUUACAUUGUUGGAUUAAACUAACACGAUUUAUUGAAUUCAGCUAACAUGGUUUAAAGAUGCAAGAAUAACUUUUGGAGAACCAACAUCAGUUGCUGCUCGAACAAAAAUGUCUCCUGGUGAGUGUAAACAUAUUUCACUAUCAGUUUAUAAUAGAAUUUGUUGGAGUUAUUAGACUUAUCAAAAUUAUUUUUCAUUAUAGCUGAAUGGUGGAUCAUGUAUGGGACUGAUGCACCAAUUGUGAGAAAGUUAGCAAUCAAAGUAUAAUCACAAACAACUUCCUCAUCUGCUUGUGAAAGAAAUUGGAGUACAUUUGCACUUAUUCACACAAAGCAAAGAAAUAGGUUGGCUCAUAGUAGGUUGGAAAAAUUAGUUUAUUGCUACUACAACAUGAAGCUUCAAAUUUGAGAUAAGGAAGCAAAAAUAGAUCAUGUCGACCGUGGUGACCCACUAGAUGUGUUUGAUAUUGCUGUUGAAAAUGAUGAUACAGAGGGUAACCAACUUUAUCAAUGGAUAAGACCUCUUCAUUUAGAUGAUGAUGAAGGCAACCCAGCUGUAAGAGUUGCUGAAGAAGCAUGUAAUGAAGGGAUAAAUGUAGAAGAAAGAGUAUUAGAGGAGGAGGUGGGAUCUAGCAGCGCUGACUCUUUGGAAUAACUUUUGCGCCCAAGACCAAGAAACAGAGGAAUUCCUCCUUCUUCCAAUCCUACACAACCACAAGAUCCUGCUGAUACUAACGAUAGCUCUAGUAUAAGAUCAGGAGACUCGCCUACCACUGGAGGUGGGAAUGAUGAAGGAUAUAGUGGAGCUGGAGGUAGUGGUGGAUAUGGAAACUAUGUUGGACCACCUCCUGGAUUUAUGAGCCCCUUCACUGGUGAGGCAAACUUCAUGCAUGCAACACAAGAUGAGGACCAUGGGAGUAGACAGGCAGGACCAAGAAUUGGUGCCAUAGGGAAGGACUAUACUCGUAGAGAAAGAGGCAAGGUGAUUUUGUCAAGUCAAGCUUCAGACUCUGUUGGAGUGGGAGUAGUAACUAUGAUUAUACUCAUAACCAACCAUUUCCCUACCCUUCAUAUCCCAUUCCUUUUGGGAAGGAAUCGAGCAGCUCAUGGAAAGAAUCUAAGACUCAAUCUUCAAAUGAUUUUUCUCAUGGACAACGUCAACCAAUCUCGGAUCCAUAUGGGUGGCAUGUUAACAAUUACAUGAAAAACUAUUUUGGGGAUUUAUCAUUUGAUGACUACUCUUCACAAUACACUUACUCGACACAUAGAGAUGAUGAAGAUAGUGAAAAAUUUGAACCUCAUAGGAACUCUAUGUGGUACUAAGUCACUUAUGUAUCUUACCAUGCAAUGUAUAAAAUGUAAAAUAUUGUAGUAAAUCAUUAUAUGUAAAAUAUUAUAGUAAAUUAUUAUAUGUAAAAUAUUGUAGUAAAUCAUUAUAUGUAAAUGAUUGUGGUGUGUUUAAUCUUCUUUCAUUAAUUACUACAUAUUUUCUACACUCACAGUGUUUGUCAGCUCACUAUAUAAUCAACUUAAAUUUGUUAAAUCCAUCAUGCAAUGCAUUUCCUUCCAAUUUUUUGUGAUAAAUUAAUAGAUAAUUGACUAAAUAAGCAUCCUCCAAAGUUUCAAUAAAAUUUUUCAAGUUUUUCUUACAAUUUCUGUGGUUUUUAUUCAAUUUUUAUCGAUAUAGAUAAUAUCCCGAUAUUUCCAUCGAAAUUUUCAUGUUUUUGGACUACCGAUAUUUCCGAUAUCACCGAUUUUUUAGAUUGAUGUAUGAUGUAUUAAUGUUAUACUUUAAUGUAUACCGAUGCGUAUGUAAUUUUCAGUUAUACUGAGGUGAAAUCCACUAAUCAUUUGUGUGCAAGAUUGUGUAGGAAAUAUUUCUAAUAAAAUGCAGGUUUAGAGCGUGCAAAAUGGAGAACAAAGACAUGACCUACAUUAUAUAUGCCUUGUGAAGGCCAGUCAUGAUAUGCAUUCCUCGUGGAGGAGGCUAUUAAUGCAAAAUGUUGAGGGAGAUGUGCUUAAGCCCAUAAGGGAGUCACCUAGAGAGGUAACCCAACUUAUGUGAUUGGAGAUCCCAUGAAGGAAGUUCAAUGUGGUAGAAACAAUCUAUAUUGCGUGACUGAUAUAGCACUCAUAAAACUAUGGAGAUAUCCUUGAGAUAUUCUUCUGCUCAUCCCUAAGGCAAAAGUGCUAUUUUAUGUGACGUCGGGAAGGGAUUUAUCCUUGAAUGAGUCUCGAGGUGGGCAAACUCCCGCAGGGUGCAGGUCACAUGUAUUCUUGGAGAACUCACCUAAGUGAGAGACGCUGUGAGGCCGCGACUGUGAGAAUUGGGCUAUUCUCUAGUAACUCUCAUGAGAAUCAAGAUUAGCACACAACCAUAAAUAGCGCUACCCCGCAUCCAAUUCUCAACCAAUACUAUGUGUGGGAUAUGUUGAAAUUUGGUCAAAGGUGCCGAGUUCAAUACUUUGUACACUCAGGUUCCUCAAAUGGAGACUAUCAUCACUAAGUGAAGGUUCAAGCCUGGAAGGCACCUACACCUAUUGCAUAGUAUUAUUGUUCACCCGUUUUGUGUUUACUCCUGAGAUGGAGGGGCGAAGUUCCCCACUGGCUUGGAGACCAUUUGUUGGUCGACAAGUCAGCUUUCUUUGGUGUGUGAGCGUGCCAUUGCUAGCAAUGUAAAUCCUAGCAGACUUCUUUUUAGAGUGGAUAACUCGCGCCCCAAGUUACUGACUUCUAAAACAAACGAUUGUGAAUUUGGGUGAGGAAUAUCUCCCAAGUAAGUUCUUUUCUUGCCUCAGACUAGUGAGGACUUUCAUAAUUUAUCUCAGUAUCAAAUGGCUGUUCUAGCCAGAAAUAUUCGAUAGAAGUUGGGCUGUUUUAGGCAGAACUGCCUUUUACAAAACAAUAAAUAUGCAUAUCAACGCUAGGAAGGUUAAAAGAUGGCCGGAACUCUGCUUCUGCUUGGAUGGAAGGCUCUGGUUUAGGCUGGACUGGACGCGCCUGGGCCGGUCCGUACUGCUUCGUGAUUUCAAAUGCUAGGCUGAGCUAUAAAUCGAUACCAAAGUUCGAUUUUGGCAGAGCUUUAUGUUUGCUUCACGCUUCGUGAGACUUUUGAGUGGGCAGAAUUGCAGCUUCUUCAGUUUGAAGGGGCAGAAGCGGCUAUUCUUGGCUUUUGCUGAACCAAAUUUGUAACGAGAGAGAUCUCGUUUUAGAAGACUUAUUUUCUAAGUCUGAACUUUGGAAUUCUGAUCUAAAGCUGGUUUCUCUUGGAAUCCAAGUGAGCUUUUGGUUGUUUUCUCGUUGUUAUUUUUUUGAUUGAUUGAUGAAUUGAGUGUCCUCUUCUUUGCCUAUUUUUGUUUUUUUUAUAAGAGACCCUCUUAGGGAGGUGGUUUUUGUUUAAAUUUUAAUAAUGGGCGGUAAAAAGAUCUUCUAUAAUGUAAAGUAAAAGGGAUUUUUAUCAAUCAUGGCUGAUAGGCUCUCAGUAGUCACCUCCUAAGGCAGUCCCUUCCCUGGUUUCCUGGGUGGCAGCUUUCUAUUUCAACCAAUGCCACCGUCUGUGUGGGCUAAAUGUUAUGGCGGUUGGUUUUCUUUUGUAUUUUCUGAACAAUUCCCUGUUUCCCGUUCUAAUUUAGAAGGCGUGACCCGUGAAUUCCUUGGAAGAUGGUGUAUCGAUUUGGAGCAAAAUCUCGAACACAGAUGAAUUUUGAUCUUCUGUUGGCAGUGUUUCAGAGAUGUCCCUCUCAUAUUUUAAACUGAGUUGGAAUUGUUGACUUUGCAAAGCUGAGGUAGUCACGUGGGUGUGUUUUUAAUCCCUUGGGUUUGAACCCAACAAAAAUUAUGGGCUGAUCCCUGAAGCCCAAAUGACAGUUUCCACGUUGGUCUUUCUUGGGCUGGGGCUUUGUUUUCGUCAUCCUGGCGUGAAGCCCAACCUGUCUGGAUCCUAAUCUUAUUAUCCUCAAGUUUUCGGGCUGGGCAGGUAAUUUUACCAUGGGCCUGUCUUUUGAACUUUGGCGUGCUGAUUUUAGGCCCAAACAAUUAUGUUGCCCAUAUAUAAAUAUAUAUUUUCACUGUAUUUUUUUUUGUCAUGGUAAAAUUUUGUGGGGGAUUGUUGGAAUUUUAAAAGGUUUUAAAAAUUUAACCAUUUUGAUUUAUAUAAUUAUUUUGGCUGUUUUAUUUUAUUUAUUGUGGGGGGUUAUACAUAUUUAAUUUUCAGGUUUUAUUUCUAUAUUGAAUGCCAUAAUUUUCUAGUUUAAUGUGGUGAAGGUUACAUGUUAUUGGAUGCCUAGAAAGGCCACUCCUCCUUCACAAUUGAACAACCACAAUACACCAUCAAAAUAAUACAUACCACAGUCUAAUUCUCUCCUCUUAUACCUCUUAUAUUUUCUCUACUUAUAUUAUUAUUUUUGCCAACGGUUCUGUGACUUGGAUACCUAUAUACGUCUUUGAACGUGCUCAUAGCGGAUCUUGAGUUUGUGUACAAGGGGUCGUAUAUUGGAGUCUUGUAGACCACCAGUCCCUGCACGUAGGGAGGCUACAAAGGCUUUAGGACAGCGUCUUUGAAGUGUUUCACCGUACCAAACUCACCUUCUUACUUAUUAUUUAUUUUGCUUUUACUUACCCAUCAAUUUAUUUUUCUUCAAUUUCAUUGUACCUUAAAAGUUUUUCAAUUUGUUUAUAUUUUAUUAUAAUAUAAAGUGAAAUUAGUUGUUUUUGUGUACAAUUGGCACCUGUGUGUGCACUUGGCAGAAGUAUGUACAAUUGUACAUAUGUGUUGAAUUGGGAGCUGUGGGUGCAAGUACUGUAUUAAUGCAUGUUGAGGUGGUGCAAUUGUAUUUUAAAUUAGAAGACUUAGCUCCUAUAUGUUAAAGUCGUAUUUAUGAGCAUAACGUGUUAGUAUGAUAUAUAAUUAUGUGGUGUGAACGAAGUGGGUUAAUGGUGAAGUUGAUACUAUUGCAGAAGAACUAGGUAGAUAUACUAUCCCAAUAUCCCUUUAUCCUUCCUUGGUCUCUAUAUACAUGCUUGACCUAAAACUGUUUAUAUUCUUUUUUUGUUUGCUAUAUUUGUGCAUUAGUUGAUUAAAUCAGGUCUGUAUUGGGAGUCCAUGAAAAAGGAGAUAAAGAUAGAAAAGAACCAAUCGAAGAAAAGUGCAGGGAUGGCGUUUGUUGUCGUGUAAUCUAGGAGAAAAAAUCACGUCCAGGAAUCACAAAUCAAUAAUGAGUUGUUGUGCGUCAUUCAGUCUCUUGUUGUCCCGGGAAGAAAUGACGUCCAAGGGGAUUGAAGAGGAGGAUGAAGAAGGAAGUCGAAACAUUUUGUGUUAUCUGAAGCGUUUGACAUGCUGGCAAGUGUGUUGACGGUGUGUGAAUGAAAUGUUAAGCAUGUGCAAUUGAUAGGGGUAAUAACGUAGUUAAAGAUUAGGAAAUGAAAGAAUUGGAAAAGUAAGUGAAUGAACUGUUAGCAAGUCUAUUGACGUUACGUCAUGGCAAUUGUCAUUGGAUGUAUGCAAUUGAUAGUGGUAGGAACAUAUUUAAACAAAAGGAAAUGAAAGCAUUGGGAAAAUAAGUGAAUGAACUAUUAUUCGUGGGAACUCCACAUUCCAGUAUUCCAUUGCACAAAAUAUGUUAAGAGUAAUUACUUGAAGCAAAUGUUGAGGUUGAAUUUGAACAUGAAAUAAAAAUUGAAUAUGGUAGACGAUAACUUUGAACAUAUAUAAGUCUAAACAAAAUUGUGAGUGUUAAUUCUAUUUAAUGUUAUUGCAAGCAUGGAUUAUGAAAGAGGGACAUUAUACACGGCAGAGGGGUGUAAUCAUGAUACGAUUGAUGUGGGUUAUAUGGGGGAGGUUGAAUCAGUGUACGAAAACAUUAAUGUGACCCCAAUUGGGGAAUCAGAUUUAGGAGGUGAGCGUUUGAAGAAGAGAACCAAUGCGGGAUCUGGCGAUGCUAUUCCCUUGCAUUUGGACGGUGUACACUUGUAUAAUUUGAGGGAAGAACCUGUUUUAUUAAAGGAGUUUAAAAGUGUAGAAGAAGCUGAAAUUUUCUUCAAAGAUUAUGCAAAGUCAAUUGGUUUUGGUGUAAGAAAGAACCAAUGUAGAUGGAACAAAUAUGGAAUAAACACGAUGCGACAAUGAUUGUGUUCCACACAAGGACAGAGACAUAAAAAAUGGAUAGAUGUUCCAUUGGGCUCUGGUUGUAGGCAACGGGAGUUGACAAGAACGAAUUACAAGGCUGAUUUUUGUGUUAAUUACAACAAGAAAGCCUAUUGCUACAUUGCAAUAGAAUUCAAGGCUCAUCACACCGUUUUGUCAGAGAUAAUGAUUUAGCACAGGCAAAGGCAAUGCGUAAGUAUUAGUUAGAACGUGUCAUUCAUUUGACUAUAUGGUGGAUUAGUCUGGUGGAUAUGUGAAUGUUAAAUUCACAAUGAAGGAUUUCUACAAUAAAAAUGACUCAGAAAGGCAGGCAUUUUUGGCUGAUGGCGAUGCAGAGGCUGCACUUGGGUACACGAAUGCAAAAGCUGCAACUGAUCCAGAGUAUGCUUGCUUCGGAGAUAUUUUGGAGAGACUCAACAUCCCUGGCAAAUUAUGCUUGCUUCGGAGAUAUUUUGGCAUUUGAUAGCACGUAUAAUACAAAUAGGUAUGGAAAACCUCGUGUUUUUUUUGGAGUGAACAACCAUCGUGCCACAGUAAUUUUUGGAUAUGCUUUACUUGUGGAUGAGACAAGUGAGAGUUAUGCAUGGGUUCUCAGGACCUUUAUACUAGCCAUGAAGCAUAAGAAACCUAUUUCUGGUGUGACUGAUGGUGAUGAAGCAAUGCAGAACGCUAUUGAGUAAUUGUUGCCUAAUACUCGACAUGGUUGUGUGGAUGGCAUGUUGGAAAGAAUUUAAAGUCGAACCUGCAAAUGUUAAAGCGCGUAAUUGCAUUCAAACGUUGUAUGUACCAUUGGAUGAUGCUUGAUGAAUUCGAGGUGCAUUCAAAACAUAUGAUAUAUACAUUUGGUCUCUAAGAUAAUGAUUAGGUGAAGAUGAUGUAUUCCAAGAGGGAACGAUGGGCAACCACAUUCUUGAGAGGUCAUUUCUUCAGUGGGCUGUAAAGCACUCAAAGAUGUGAGAGCAUGAACCGAUGUAUGAAGGAUUUACUUCGACGGAAUGGUCUGAAGUUUUUUGAAUGUAUUCCUCAACUUGAUAGAGCCUUGCUACGAGUUAGAAACAAAUGUGUGAUGGACGACUUGAAGGCAAAAAAUUCCACACCGGUGCUGACAACCCAAUUUCAUAGUUUGCAGCAACAUGUAGCUACUGUCUACACACAGAGUGUGUUUGAAAUAGUUCAGAAGCAGCUGAAUUAUGUGGGAACACUUAUUUGUAAAAGUGCCAUACCUUUUGGGGGUUGUUGCAAACUCCCAAUAUCCAAAUAUGGUCAUGGAGGAAGUCAGUAGAUAGUUGUUUUCUACGACGAAUGAGGUAUUUGUCUAGACUGCAGCUGCAAAAUGUUUGAAUAUGGUGGCAUACCAUGUGCUCAUUUGUUAUAUGUUAUGAAAGAGAAUGAUAUGAAGCAGAUACCAGAAGGUCUUAUUAUGAAGAGAUGGACUAAAUGUGCAAGGUUGGACAUUGAAGUUCCAAUGCAGGUGCAAAAGAAUGAGAUUGUUGGUUUACAAGUUGCGAGGUAUGGGGCUUUAAGUGGGUUUUGCAACAAUUUAUGUUAUUAUGGGUCAUUGACAAUUGAAGCUUAUACGUUGCUUAAGACUGAGUUAGUGAGAAUAAGCACUCGGUCUCAAGACACAUAGUGUCGCGGGGCGUAGGCCAUGUUUGGGUGACCCAUUUAGUCCUAAAAUGAUCCCCAUGUUGUCACGAGCACGACGGUAUGCUCGGAUUUGAAUUUGGUUACCGUUUGACUGUCUAUCGAAUUUACGCAUAUUAGGCGUUAUCCAAGUUUGAUAUGUUCGGACUGUUGGAUUGACUCCAUUUCCAAAUAUGUUGAUCUACGUAUCUCUAGGAUCGUGUAAAAAUUCAUAGAUCGUGAAUCGGAGUCCCGGAUGCUCCGAUUCAAUGACUUAAAGUUUGCGUAAAACGGUAACUGUCCGAUCAUGCAAUAGUGAGCGAUCCGACCGCUCGAUCUAGACCAAACUUGCAGGAGUACCCGUAGGAACUUUCGGAUUUGAAAUUUAAGGUCGUGGCCCCCUCCGCCCCGGUUGACCAAAUUUGAAAAGUUUGACCACUUGGUUGACCAAACGUCUUCCUAGGUUAUUCCACCAUUCGAAACACGUAGUUGGACCUUAGGAACUUCUUGUCUGUCAUGCACAUACAUGAAUCCCAUAAAAUUAGGAAUUUAUUUUAAAGUAAUCAUCCGAGUUAUUGUAAUUAAUUUAGUCUUCAUUUUCUUAAACAGGUACUCCGACCAUGCGUAUGCAAUAGGCGGGACCCUGUCAAGGUCAAGUAGCGUAGGAUUACUUGUGAGUGUACUUUGUUUUAAAUAAUAUUCAUUAUUUUCAAGAUGGAAAGAUACACAUAAUGAUUUAUUUGAUUAUUGAGUUUAUCAUUUAGUUAACUGUUGAAAUAUAAUAUUUUUAUGGAAGUAUUUGAAAUAUAUUGGAUAUUUUCAGACUUUGAUUAUAUUGAAUUGAUGCUAUUCUUGAGAAUUUCUAUCUAUAUUUGAUUUUGUGUGGGGUACAUGGGAUUGUUGGGAAGGGGUUAUGGACUGUGAAUGGGUUGUGGAUUAAGUCAAUUUUGAGUGCUAUUCGCACUACCCUAUGUACCUCCCUCGACUUGGAAUACUGAAAAUGGAUACUUGGAAUUUAGGGAUACUUGGAUAUAUUGGAACCCGAGCACCCUUGACUGGGUGUUUCGUAGACGCUUAGCUGGGUUAGUUUGUGCUCGUAGGACUUGUCACAAGCGUACAAGUAUUGAGGAUUCUGCUGUAUGUGCUAGUAAGCUUAGUCCUCGGUGGACGGCUCGUUCCCUAGCCACAUGUUCAAUUGAGGAUUCUUCCAUGUGGUCUAGUCAAACAAUCCCCCAAUUGGAUUGUUUCUCUGGUACAAGUUUGGUAGUGGUCAUACUUAUAUACAGAUAUAUAAUAUUAUAUAUAUAUAUAUUCCUAUACAUUCAUUCUUAUUUAUCAGUCAGGAUACUUGCUCUUUCGCCGUGCCAACGGGCACGCAUUUCGAGAGAGUAGCUUGGGAAAAAUGGGAAAGGUUUUUAAUGGGAUGGUGUGAGUAAUCUAUUACGAGAAUACGGAUUUCACUUUGGUUUUUGGCUUAAUUAUAUAAUAUAUAGCUAUGUCGGCUUUGAAUGCAUGUCGUUUUAAGCAUCCUUUUCCAAAUGGUGGGGUUACUAUAUGUUUUUUUAACAUAACAAAACUUUGUUUUUGCCCACUCACAAUUUUCUGCUCUGCGCCCCCCAGGCAGUAGAUAGACUCAUACCGAGCGGCAGAAACGAGAUCCUCACUUCCUAGCUCGAUCUCUUGUAGGAUAACUUUUCUUCAUUUAAUUUCCGUUGAACUUUAUGUUUCACUUGUAAACUGAAUUUCAUCAGGUACGCCCUAUUAUAUAGCCCAUGCUAGGGUUCGAUGUAAAGCCGGAGGCCUAUUAUGUAAAUUGCAUGUUAUUAUCUUGUGCAUGCUGCUGGUUGGUGUAUAUAAUUCUGUUUUUAACAGGUUGAAAAUUUUGGGAAUGUCCAUUUUCAAGGGAAACUCUACCGAAAUUUCGGCGAAAGUCUCGUCCCACUUUUUCUUGUUUUGGAAAGAGAGGUUUGAUGUUAGUAAGUGGGCCCGAUGUCAGAAAUACCAUAGGAUUCGUCCCGGAUUAUGAGGAAUUCUGGGUGGGUCCUGUCAACUUGGUAUCAAAGCAUUAGGUUCAUUGUCCUUCGAAUUUCACGCUUCCUUUGCAUUCUUGAAAGUAAUGGCUCCACUAUUUUCUUUCAUAUAGAACUAUGCCUCCUCGAAGUGGUAGACCAAGAACACGUUUUCCCGAGCCUGGGGAGCCCAUUCCACCUCCAACACCAUCUCCACCUCUAUCACCACCUCCAUCUCUACCUCUACCACCACCUCCAUCUCCACCACCUCCACCUGUCGGUGAGGGACCUGGAGAGAAUGUGCUAGACUUGCGUCAUGCACUCGACCAGUUCACUCGAAUUGUCACCACAGCUUUACAAGGGAGGUGUAAUACUGAAGCCUUAGAUAUCAAAAGGGUCAAGGAGUUGGGAGCUCAUGAAUUCUUUGGCAGUGUGGACCUUGUUGAAGCUGAGAAUUGACCCACAGAUAUUGAGAGAGUGUUUGACGUCUUGCAGUGCCCUAAUGAAAACCGAGUGCAAUUGGCAGCUUUCCUCUUGAAAGGAACAUUGGUGGAAGAUUGUCCGUAGAGGGUAUGCUGAUCCUACUACCGUCACUUGGCAGAGUUUCAGCCUGUCUUCUAUGAGCAAUUCUAUAUGCACUAGUACCAGAAUGCAAAGAAACCCGAAUUCCUUCAUUUGAAACAAGGGUCGAUGUCCGUGCUAGAAUACGAGCACAAGUUCAAUGAAUUAUCCCGAUUUGCCCCUGAACUAAUUCCCACUGAAGAAGAUAAGAGCAGAAGCUUUGAGGAGGGUUUAUGGUUGGAUAUCCAGGUAGUGGUCACCGCCACCACUUAUCUUACUAUGAGGGCACUGCUCAAGCAGCAGAUUGUGUGGUGAAGAAGCUUAGUGCUGGUUCAGUAAGGCGUCGCAGGGAUUCAUUUGGCUUUGGUGGACCGAGGCAGGGUCCAUCAAAGAGGGGUGGAUCCAGCUCUACUUCAGCAGGCAGUGGAUGGUCCAGAGGAUAUGGGUCCAGUUCUGGUAGUGGGAGAUCUGGGCCUAGGCCAGCUUGGGGUCAUUAUUCUGGGAAACAGUCGAUGGCUAGUAUGGCUAGGGAUCCUUCUCGCUAGAGUAGCUCAACCUGUCAGAACUGUGGGCAGGUGGGACAUUUUAGGAGGGAUUGCCCACAGCUUGGGCAAAGCGGUGGUCCCAGUCAGAGAGGCAGUGUGGGUUGUUUCUACUGCGGUCAAGUUAGGCACUUUAAAAUUGAGUGCCCUCUUCUCUCUCUUGGUGGUACGGCAAGGCAGGAGACUGGGGCCCAAUAGGGGCAAGGCAGCCGAGGUCAGAGUCAGAGCCAGAGUGGUGCUUCAUCAUUAGUUGUGGGCUCUUUAUCCAGUAGUGGAGUACAGUAUACUUUUCGGGGUAUGGGUGGUAGAGACCAGAGGGGUCAGUCUGGGUUUCUACUACUCAAGCCCGUGUAUUCUCUAUGACUCAGUAGGAGGCACAUGCCACACCCGAUGUCAUCACUGGUAUGAUUCAUGUUAUUGGAUACUUUGCAAGUGUUCUAAUAGAUUUCGAGGCCAUACACUCAUGCAUUGCACUUAAUUUCGUACCAUAUGCAAGUGUCAGACCUACACCAAUUGCUGAAAGCUUUAGCAUCUUCUUACCUAUGAGGGAUGUCCUUUUUGCGAAUAUGGUAUUCACACCAGAAGGGAGUUUUCGGCUUCUUCUUAAGCGAGACACAUCCCUUGCCCGCGAAGUUGCAGCUUCAUCCUUGGAAGACUUGGCCUUGGCCUUUCUCUUUAAGGGGGUUCGAUCGAGGACUCCUCAUGUUUGGUAGGUAUAUCAUCCGAGUCUAGACCAUACUUUUUCCAUCUCUCAACAUCUUCAAUAGGAAGCAGACCACCAGCUUUCUCCCCAUACUUUCUCAACAGCCAGCACCAUUCGUGAAACCUCGCAGGGAUGUUCAGAGCUCGAUAGACCUUAAUCAUGUCUGGCCCAAGAUCCAGUCUCUUGCAUAUGUCAUUCUUUAUAAGCAAAAGACAGAAUUCAAUUAGUCAUACAUCAAAGAAUUUAGACAAAAAAGAAGUAGAUCAGUAGCAAUAGGGCAUACCGUCACAUUAGGUGAUGGGAACAAGUGAACCAUUGUAAACCUCGCAUUCCCAUCGUCCACUGACUUCCAACACAUUGGCAUGCCAUGCGUGAUCACUUUGGCUAAAACUGUCAAACAGCUUGGCUUUGCACACAUGGACUUCAGUAUACUUCUCGUAAUGCCUCCCUUCGUAGAAGUAGAAGAAGUCCCACACCAUCAGUUCUAGCUUGAAGAAAUGACUCAAUUCUCAAAACACAUGAUCGCUUGAAAGACUUCGGAGUACAUUAGAUGGGGGCACACUCCAUGGCGCAGAACACCUUCCUAAAAAACUUAGACAACGGGAAUGUGAAGCCCAAGGAGAAAUCAAAGGGACGAAAAAUCAUAAUCCUAGCAUCUAGAUCAUUCAGAUCCACACAAGGUGCAUCGUUAGUCGAGGACUCUUCUAGCUUGACAUGCACGUCAUCUAGUAUGGCAGAACUAUAAGUGGCACGCCACUUAUGGAAUUGAGCUUCAGACGUAAUUAGCCACAAAUCUUUACUUGUGCACCUUGGAACCACCCUCCAGUUACAAUGGUACUUACAAACUCAGUGACUGGCUACCAUCCUCGAAAGACAUGAUCAGUGAACAACUGCAAAAAAAGAAGAAAAUUGCAACUUAGAUAGCAUGUCAAAACCCUAAAGUGGCAGUUCAAAAAAAAAAAAAAGCAAAAUUGUAGCCGCCAGCCACAAUCGACGAGCACCGCAACAACGGCCAACAACCGCAGCUGAGCAACUGCACCCAAAUGGCGGACCUCGCUUGCUUUAUCCACUGCGCUGUGAUGACAACCAGCAGGCCCAUGCUUGUUGGUCCUGUCCGCUAUCGAAAGAAAAAGAAAAACAAAAGAAGAAAGAUGUGGUAGCCACAGCUACAACAACCUCUGCAACACUGUCACCGUCGCCACUGCUACCGAUCAUGACGACAACCAGCUGGGCCCACCCAGAUUGUCCUCGCUGUGAAGAAAGAAGAAGAAAAAAAUAUAUAAAUUUGACCUACCUUGGGGUACACGGUGACUCCUCUCUUCGACUAAUACAAAUUCUCCAAGAUCUCUCUCAAGCUAGAAAGUAGAGAAGACAAGUUUGCAAUUUGAAGAAAAGUGAAGAGAGACCUUAUAUUUAUAAAGAUUGGGCAUCCUACGUCAAGGAGGAAUCAUAAGCCUAUUCCCAUUGGGAGUUCAACUCCAAGAAAAGUACAAGGAAAGUUCAAAGCCUACUCCAAUUUGGAGCCUAAUUUGCAAAAGGAGUCCAACUUAACAAAUAAAUCCCAGAUGCAGUUGAGCCCAUUCAUUUGGCCAAGUAAUUGAUACUAAAAAUAUGGAUAUUAUCUUUAACCCUAAACACCCGAAACCUCUCUCUCUCUUUCUCUCUCUCUGCCCUAGCCAAUGACAUCCCUAUCUGCCAGCCUCACCACUCUUGUCUCUCCCACAUGGCCAAGUGUCACCACACACGGCUCCGACCACCCGGUUCUCCCCAUAGAGAAAACUCCGUGCCCUUUUUUAGUUAUUGUUUCUCAAAGAUUUAAUUGAAUUAACUUAGGCAUCGAAGGGCCUUUGGCCAACAUCCCUCGGGUGUGGUAUUUUACUCCAGUUCGUUUUACAAGAAUCGAGGAAGAGAGAGAAGGAAGCUCAAAGGGUGAGGGAUCUACACUCAAAUAUUCUCCCGUGAGAAAUUUACACAAACAUUGGUUAUUUUCUUUCUUGCUUUGUAUUUGUUAUAUUUAUUUUUUCUUGUUUGUUUCAAUUUGUUCUAGUUUCUUUUGUUUUUCUUUGAUUUUAUUAUUUCGUGUUGUUUUGUUUUGUAUCAGUUCGUUUUGUAUCAGCUUUUGUGUUUUUCCUAAUUUGUUUUGGUUUUCUCUGAAGCUCUUUUGUUUCUCGAUUGGAGGUGUUACUUUUUUGGCACCCUGUUUUCUUUCUUUUCUGUUGCCUUCGCGUUUUUCUGUUGUUAGGUGUUUUAAGAUUUUUCUUUUCUUUUUGUUUGUUUUGCUAUUUAGUUUUAGUAUACUCUAUUAGCAGGAUGCCCAUGUAAGUUCCCUAGUCUCUCUUUAUGAUUUUUGUGCUUUUUCUCUUCUUGGUUGGUUUCUUGUCGGUUGUACGCUAUUCUUUCUUUUAUUUGUAGUUUAACUUGUUUUGGGUUGUUUUGGCAUGUUUCUUGGCUUUUGUUCUUUGAUGUUCUCUUCUCUUUUUUUUAUUUUUUAUUUUUUUCAUAUGGUUAUAUUGCUUUACUAUCUCUUUGUUUUCGAAGGUUUGUUUUUUAAAAAUUUUGUUUCUUGUUGACAAGUUCUGUUGUUGACUGCGUUACUUGGAGGUGCAGCUUGUUGGGGAGUUCCAGCAUCCUUUUCUUUCUUUUUUUUUCUUUUCUUUGUUAGCUCAUGAUUGUUUAAGGCCGCGAGGGUUUUUAAAAUUACGCUUGUUCCUGGCUCUCACGUUGGGUUUCGAAUGGUUUCAUCAUAUGCUUUGUGUACUCUUAUAAAAUGCUUCUUUUCUUAAUAAAGCAUUUGUACCAACGAAAAAAAAAAAUUUCGCACAUACAAGAGAAUUGGAGGAUGUAUGAUACAGAUCAUGAAGUUCAUGAUGCUGGACAUUUGACUGUACAUUAUUCUGGUUUGUGUGAGCCCAUUCUAAGUGCACUUUUGUUUGGAGAAGAACAUCUUCAUUACAAACCUCCUAUAACCAAAAUUGUUUCAUGAGCGUGUCAAAUAUUCUUCUUAAUAUCCAAACUUAUAUUGUCAUCAUAUUGCUUAUGUAUUAGGAUUUUAGUACCCUCAUAUCGCCUAUUUUUCAAGUAUGUGUUAAAAUAAAAUUACGAGGGGAGUAUGGCUUUGGUAUUGCCGCUGUAUUGCCACUGUAGUGCCGUGGUGUUGUUUGGUUAUUGCACUUUUAUUGGUUUCUUAUCACCUGUUUUUUCAAGUUUCUCUUAUAAAUGAACUUAUAAUGUUAUUUUGUAAAGGAAAAUGCUAAAUCAUUAUUCAUUAUCAUAUAAAUAAGGUAUAACAAGCACCAUAUUUGUAUCUCUUUAAUAUGAUUGAUAUAUUUGCCAAUGAUCCUCAUAAAACAUCUUGUACAAGAACUGAAGAUAUAUUAUUACAUAAUAUUCUGAACCACACUCAUAGGCUCCCAAAUCCCUAUACGGUUCAACAUUGUAAGCAUACUUCUGAAAGACUGAAAAUAAAACCAUCUCCACACACACCAAUAUGUUUUGAACAGCUUCCUCAAUUAUGAUGAGAUCGAAUAAUUUUCAAUAUUGCAAGUAUGUCAAGAACAAAUGCCUACA
rnacentral:lncRNA from 1 species